rnacentral:lncRNA from 1 species
AAGAUUGCUAUCCCCACAGAUUUGAGUCAUCUUUACACAAGCACAUACUUAAUUAAAGCCACCACUUACUAGUUCACAAGUAAUCAAUUAAAACAAUGCUUUUGAAUGUAGUAACAUGCCUUAGAGAAUUCCCUCAAUUCCUUACAAGAUAUACACUCUAUUUUCACUCAGAUUUUCUAACUCCACACCCUACACUAGUCAUAUGUGAGAAGAUUGAUGUAGAUAUGAAAACGAAUGCUCACAUAUAUGUUUCACAAAGAACGCAAUUUCUAGAGUUAAGAAGCAUGUUUAGAUAUGAUCUCAUGAAUGGAAUGCUACUACUUAGAUGCGAGAACCAGUGACACCAUAUGCUCAUACCAAAUUCAAACUCCACAAAUUGAAACACAUAACACUCAAGAUAGAAGUUAAGGGUUGUAAUGGGGCUUAGGUUGUUGGUUAACAAGGAAAGGAUGGGGAAAACAAACGUUCUUCAAGCAAUAGUAAGCAAAGCAAUGAAAUUGAGACUUAGAAUUCACUUAGAUUGCAGAAAUUAACUUUAAAACACAAGGGGAAGACUUAAACAACUCCUUAGGGCCGAAUUCAUUGUUUUGGACCCUUACUUCAACAAACAAUACUUUGGAACUCUUUUUCUUUUUUUUUUUUUUUUUCAAACUGUUUUUUUUUUUUCAUACUUUUCACACUUUUUUCUUCAUUUUUUCUUUUUCCACGAAUUUUUUUUUCUUUUCUUUGCCGUGCCUAUGGCACACAAUUCCUCAUGAAAAAUACUUCCCCCACACUUGGUUUCUGCCAACAUAGAUCAAAAGGAAUUCAAUUUCGAAUCAUGCUUUACUAUGCUUUAAGAACAAGGGUAUGGAUGGUCCUAAACUAGGCUAGGUGAGGAUAAUGUGGGUUAACAAACAACAUAGGCUAAACAAGGCUCAACGGGGUUAAAACCUACAAAAACAUAAUGACAUAGGGGAUUCAUGGCUUUUUGGCUAAGGUGGUGGUCACUACACAACUUCAUCUUGAAUAUGUGUUAUGCAAAUCAAUAACAUGCUUUGAAUGAAAUGGGCAUGAGUUCUAGCAUUUGGAACUAAAUGAUGAAACGCCUUCUAAGUAGCAACCAAGCAAAGAAUAAUGAGAUCAUGCAACGACUUAGAAAACAAAGAAUGCACAGAUUUUAACUCUCCAAAUAAACGUUUAGGCUCAAGUCUCACAAGGUUGUAGCGUUAGUUUGAGUUCCUUCCUUCAAGCAUGUUACAAAAAACUGAUUUUUUUCUUUUAUGAUUGCAUGUGAAUUCAUAAGUUAUAACCACAACUAAGCAUAAACAAAGAGUAAAUCAAACUUUCAUCCAUGUUAAUCACUCUCUUUAACAGCCAUGUAAUUACAAACCGAAUCCUCAUCAUUGUGUUGGAAGGUACCCUAAGACACAAACAAACACACAAAAACAACUCUUUUUUGGGUUUUUUAAAACAAAUUUUUCAAAUUUUUAUGUAAUUUUCGGAUUUUUACUUCAAAACACACUAAAACACAUCAAAACUGCUCAAAAACACUUAAAAACAGCAAGGAACAAGUCUUCAAGUUUAGGGUGAUAAAAUCCCACGAAUUUGCAUCUAAAACACUUAGUUACCCCCCCACACUUAAAUCAAACAUUGUCCUCAAUGUUUCAAGCAUGAAAUCACACUAAACAAAAAGAAACACACAAACAGCAACUAAAACAACUAAAUAGGCAGAUUCAAAAUAAAUAACAAAGGGAAGAGUUUAGGAACGCAAAUCUGGAAUUGGGAGUGAUUCCUUGGUCUUCCUCUGUUGAAUUGCAUGGGUUGCCUCCCAAGUAGCGCUUUCUUUUACGUCUUGCAGCCGGACAAUGCUCCUUUGAAGGUUAUUGAACCCCACGGCAUGGAGGGGUGUUUCCUCUACACCUUGUCCUUCGAACCACUUCAUGCAUUGGGUCCUUGAAUGGAAUGGGAUAAUGAUCCUUUCGUAGUGUCGUGUUGUGCUUCUCUAAAUUAACACGAACUCUCCCACCAUAUUGACUUUGAUUAGGUACCUGCACCAUACAAGGUAACAACCGAUUAGUUGAAAUGGGAAUUGAAAUUGGAUCAGGUGGCUUACCUAGGUGCGGCAUAGGAGUGGGAGUACAAUGGACAGAUGCACAAAGGUUGCACUCGGCCAAAUUUGGUGAUUUCAAGGUUGAGGCCGUGCAUUCUUUGUUGCUCACUCCAAUUCCCUCCUCGAUGGUAGUUCGAGGUGCAUUUUUCUUGACUAGUGUUGAACAUUCCUGCCCUAUAUUUUCAAUUACAUUAAUGGCACAACAAGAACGAACAUCAUUAGUAUUCUCAAUUGAUUCAGGAAUCUUAAAGUUAAUCAUAUCACCACCAAAGGCCAUAGUUACGGCUCCCUUGGCCACAUCAAUCUUGGUUUGAGCCGUUUUCAUGAAUGGUCGUCCAAGCAAGAGUGGUGAUGGUGGAUAGUGGGUUGAGUCCUCCAUAUCAAGCACAUAGAAAUCUGCAGGAAAAAUCAAAUGGUCUACCUGCAACAAAACAUCUUCCAACACUCCCUUGGGAUAUGCAUUAGAUCGAUCGGCUAAUUGAAUUAUAACGCCAUCAUUUUUAAGUUUUCCUAGAUUCAUAGAUGCAUAAACAGAAUAUGGCAUGACAUUAAUUGAUGCACCUAGAUCUAGCAUAGCAUGUUCAAAUCUUGUAUUACCAAUUACACAAGGGAUUGUGAAACUACCUGGAUCUUUACAUUUAGGUGGUAGCUUCCUUUGCAACAUUGCAGAGACAUUCUCGCUUACAUGUACCACCUCCUUCUCCCUAAUCCGCUUCCUCGUUGUACAAAGCUUCUUCAAGAACUUGGCAUACUUCGGGAUUUGCUUGAUUGCAUCCAAAAGAGGUAUGUUAACUUGAACUUUCCUAAAUGUCUCUAGAACAUCUUUUUCCUCCUCUUCAUUCUUGGAUUGCAAAAAUCUGCUAGGAAAGGGCACAUUGGGUGGAAUAAUGUUAGAAUUAACUGAACUUGGACCUUUCUUACCUAGGGUGGACGGAUUGGAGGACUUAGGAUCAAUGGUUGCUUGCGGCAAAGGUUGCUCCACCUUUGCCGUGGGUUGCUUUGGGUUCUCCUCUCCAGAUUUCAACGUUUCAUCUUCUUUGGGACCUGAUUUUGGUGGUGUAGGACCUGCCCCAACUUCUUUUCCACUCCUUAGCAUGAUUGCAUUUGCGGUUUCAAAGCCUCCCUUUGGACUUGGAAUGGUGGAACUAGGGAGUUGUCCGGGAUCUCGAAACUUACCUACAAACUCGGCAAUCUGCCCAAUUUGUUUCUCAAGUUGAUCCACCCUUCUGUCUUGGUUUUGCAUAGCUUUAGCUUGAUCUUCCUGCCCAUUAGACAACUUAGUUAGUAUCUUAAGAAGUGCAUCAUUGUCAAGAGACGUACCUGAGGCACUUGGGCCGGAUUGGGCUUGAUUUUGGGGUGGGCCGUAAGUUUUGGGAAAGAACCCCGGGGGUUGUUGCCUAAAGCCUCCUUGGUUUUGAGGUUGUUGGGGCUCCCUCCACUUGAAAUUUGGGUGAUCUCUCCAACCGGGAUUAUAUGUGUUUGAAUAUGGAUCGUUCCUUGGUUGGUUUUGCCCUUGAAACCCAAUUGCAUGGGCGCUUUCCCAUCCACCAUUUUCAAUCAACUGUGGACAUUUUUCAGAGACAUGUCCUUGGAUGGAACAUACGCCACAUACAAUUGGUCCUUGCAUCUUCAUGCCCUCGGCCAUCUGAGACACAAGAGAAGUAAGAUUAGCCAAUUGUGAAUGAAGAUCAGAAGUUGAACUUACCUCAUGUACUUGGUGCCGUGGGGGUCCUCUUUGGCCUACACCCUCGUACUGUUGAGCGUUCAACGCUCUAUUAGCAAUCAAGACCUUGGCAGCCAUGGGUGUUUUGUCCACCAAUGCUCCCCCCGCCGAAGCAUCAAGCAUUUGACGUUCUAGAGGUAGGAGACCCUCGUAGAAGUAUUGCAAAAGCAACUCCUCCUUCAUCUGAUGCUGUGGACAAGAAGCAACAAGUGAUUUAAAUCGUUCAUAAUAUGUAGGAAAAGACUCACCUUCCUCUUGCUGAAUUCCGCUUAUCUUUUUGCGUAGGAGGAUGAUGCGAGAAGUUGGAAAGAACUUCUCCAAGAACGCUCUUUUCAUACUCUCCCAAGAAGUGACAGUGCUGGGAGCUAACUCGUAUAACCAAUCCUUGGCUUUAUCCAUCAAAGAGAAUGGAAAAGCCUUCAUCUUCAAGAUAUUUCCGUCAACAUUGACGGGAGUCGUACUAGAGCAAACUACUUCAAAUUCUUUCAAAUGUUUGUUAGGAUCUUCCAUGGACAAGCCAUGGUAUUUAGGAAUAUGAUGAAGCAAACUUGACUUUAAUUCAAACUCAUCCGUCUUACCUUGGGCAGCCAUGGGGUAUUGAAUGCACAAGGGUGCGGCAUUAUCCAAACCUGAGGCGGAAAGCUCCUUGAGUGUACGAUUGUCCAUGGCCAUGCCUUGGACUUCUUCAAAUAUCCCUGCCGUGGCUUCCUCCUCCUCUUCUUGUACGUUUUCUUCAAGGUCAGAUUCGGAAUUGGGUGGAUGGUGUUCUUGCUGGUUUCUAGCUCUUCUUAACUUCCUCUCAAAAUCGUCGUCAAAAUCCAAGAUGUUUGCACGAAUCGUUUGAGAGCUUCUAGUCAUACAUUAGUACCUAAGAAACAAGAAACAAAAUUAGGUCAGAAACUUAAACAAAGUCAGAAACAAAGUGAAAUAAAAGAAACAAAAACAAUCCAAGGGAUUAGCAAAAUUGCUAAUCCCCGGCAACGGCGCCAAAAAUUUGAUGCGAAAUAGAUAAGCACACAAAUUAAACCCUCUUUUUGUCAAAUUGUAGCAAAGAUGUAAGUAGGGAUCGUUCUAAACCGGGGAUUAGGAGGGAUUGCUAAACACUUGGAAACUGACUUAAAAACUCAAAAACAAAGUUUAAAACACUAAACUAGACUCAAAGAAUGCAAAAGUAAAGGUUAAAAGACUUAAACAAACCUAAAACUCAAAACAGCAACUAGAAGGCUCAAAACUGCCUAAAAAACCACUUUCUGGGCAGUUUUGAGCACCUACACUAAUUUGGACGAAAUUUGAUGAAAACUUGAAUCAAAAAUACUUAGAAACACAAAUCAAAAUACUUUCUAACUAAUCUAAGACUUCAAAUGAAGGGGGAUUUGUUUUGGACGAAAAUUUAAACACAAAACAGAAACUUUAAUUAGCACAGAUUGUAAAAACGAUUUUGGUGAAAUAGAUGGAUAAAAGGCUAGUUAGGAGGUUCUUCUCCACACAUGUCACACUUGCAAACAAAACGAUUUUCAGUUGUUUUCUUCCAAUAAAUUAUAAAUACUCAACGCCCCAGAUUAACCGUGAAUUGCACUAAUUAACCCUCAGUUUUUCCACAAGUUAUUAAGUUGGAUGAUUGCAUACGACAACCCAAAACAUUCCCUACAAGUUCCCUACAUGAAUUGCAUAAUAGAGAUACAAGCAAGAAUCAUUACGUUCUAUGAAAAACAUAAGCAUUGACGAAGCAUUUGUUACUAUGAAUUGCAUGAAACUUAUGCUAAGAAUUCAUUCAACGCGAUCGUUUUCAAGCGAUCUUCACUACUUGUGAUUAUAAGAUUGUAACUAUUAGGUGAAACUCCCUCAUAAUCUAGCAUCAUAUUCAUGCAUGAAAACUAAGCGUGCACUCUCAAUCAACAUACAUAAAUAAGUAUCAAUCAAAUAGAUGAACGAAUUGAAUCCACAACUUAUGAAAUAACAACUGAAUGUAAUCGAAUCAAAUUGCAAGCAUGUACAUGGUUUCGAAUUACCCCCCAACUAAGGGGGUUUAGUUCCUCAUACUCACAACACAAAGUUUUAUUGAAUUGAAACAUUGAAACAUAAGAAAGAUCACACCUAAAAAUUCCAGCAAUCUAAAUUGCACAGCAGGAACAUCUAAGAACCUUCCUCCUCUUCCUUGGUUGCGGCACAGGGGUUUGUGAUGGUUUUUGGGGGUUAUGGAUGGUGUAGAAUGGUGGAAAAGUGUGUAGGAUAGGUGUAUGGGACGGCUAGGGUGGUUUUGGGUCAGAAAAUAUGGUGAAUGAUGAAGGAUAGGUGCUGUUGAAGAUGGGGAAUGGUUUCUGGCGUGAAGGAUUAAUUUCUGGAUUAUGGAGAGGGUUGUAAUUCGGCCAAGGGAGGUAAAACAUAUAUAUAUAGGCAGCCAAACCCUAAAGAAAUCAGAUUAGACAAAUGGGCUAGGGUUUAGGUGAGGCUAGGGUUAGGAAAUCCACCAAAAACUAGGGUUUCUAGAACAUUAGGUGCGGCAUGGGCUUAGGGUAAGUAAUCAGAUUUUUUUCAUGUGAACAAGGCCUAGGUGUGGCUGAUUAAGUGGGCUAGGGUUAGGGUUAGGUGCGGCAUAGGUCCAAGAGGCAAAGAUGGGUCAUCCAAAAGCCCAAAGCCGAGAAUAGAAACUCUCGAAAUUGGAAACCUCCAAAAAUAGAAAAUUCCAACUUUAGAAACUUUGGUUGCCAAUUCCGAUUUAGGAAAGAUCAACCCAAAAUGGAAACUUUUAGGCUUAGCUUUCCUACUUCAAGUAGGAAACCUCAAAUCUCGAACUCUUCAAUUUCAACCCAACCUUGUGUUCCAAGCAUGUCCUUUUCAUUCCAAGCUCACUUUUUGCUCUAAAAGCUCCAAAUUGCAUCAUUUCAUGUAAUAUGUCCUUUAAACCUGAAAACACAUGAAAGUAGCUUAAAAGACUACUUUAACGAAGAAAACAUAACAAAGAUGCAUAAGAACUAGCUAACUAAGGCGCAUAAAUAUGCUCCUAUCAUCAAUGUAGACUUCGACAAUGGUACCAAUUAAAUCUUGGAAAAUAGUGUUCAUGGCUCGUUGGUAUGUUGCACCGGCAUUCUUGAGGCUGAAGGGCAUGACGACCCAUUCGUAUAUGCCGAGUGCCCCGGGACACUGAAAGGUAAUCUUAUGGACAUCAGCUUCGGCGAUGAAAAUUUGGUUAUAACCGGCAUGCCCAUCCAUGAAGGAUAGGAUCUCGUGAUGUGCUGCGGUGUCAAUUAGCAAGUCGGAGAUCGGCAUCGGGUACUCGUCUUUGGGCGUUGCCAAGUUCAGAUUAUGAGAAUUAUGUGUGCAUUGAAAAUGGUUGGACUCAAAAAUUACAUUUAUUGUUCUUAGUUAAAUAACAUUUUUUCUUUGUUGUAUAAGCUCCACCUUUGACAUAAUCUAAUAUUGAAAUUCAAUUUUGGCUUCAGUUCGGCUCAAAACUCAUAUACGAGUUUUAAGUCUUAUGAGUUUGAAUAGAAAAUGUGGGGUAUUGUUGAAUAGAUAAUGCUAAUAUCUUAUGGUUAAGAUGAAUAUAACAUGAUAUUCUUGAUUAGCAUUACCUAUAUGAGAUUGAUGUGGGGUCGCAUAUUCGAGAAUUGUUAUGGCUACAAUUCUCUAAAGGUCUCAUAAAUACAGGAUAUGUUCAGGACUAAAAUGAACACAGCCGUAUGAAUUUGAAGUGUGUCAAGAUGUGAUAUGUGUGAUAUUUAUUGUUUCGAUUUACUACUAGGAAUGAUCAGUUCAAGAUAUUAAAUUCACUACUACAUUAGGUAAAUCCGAUAAGUACUAACUAGAGAAGAUUCAAGUCCAAAAGACACCUAUCCUGAUGCAUAUCAUAUCUAAGUUCUCUGGAAAAGGUGUUACUAAUUUAGUUGGUAUCUUAUUUCCUAUUCAAAUGUGGGGUACUGCAAGAGUUUGAAUAGAAAAUGUGGGGUACUGUUGGAACUUGUGAGGGACCAUUGUCCCACAUCGACCAUACACCCUCUCUAAUUCUUGUUUAUAAGUGAGUUCACUCACUUAUUGUUUGAAAGGAAUUGGACCAAUGCUAUGGACUUUGGAAGGUUUGGGUGUAUAUAUCAAAUGUCGGCCUUGGGGCUCAAACAGACGAAAAAACACAAGUACGAUUUUUACAUUUUUUUAUUUUACGAUUUAGUUUUUUCCGAAGGGAUAAGACUGUUUACAAAAACAGUUACAUCCUUUCUGAAAGGAUAAGAAUGAGUCAUAAUUGUUGCAAAAAUUUCAUUAUAUAUGGCUGUGAUAUCAAAAUCGAAAAAUAUAGAAUUUCAUCGCUCGCUCUCUCUUUGAUCCUUCAUAGAGAAACACAUAGUAAAUUCGCCAAGAAUCCAAGUUCGAGUGCAAGAACUUGGGUUAGAUAGUGUAUCCUGCAAGAUAGACGUCUGUGAACUACUGCACUGGUGUAGGGGCAAAUUUCUUUCUUAGGAAAUUGCUACUACAAGCCUCUAUCUUCCAAAAUCAAGUCAAUGAUUGUUGUUGUGAUUUUUAUAUGCAAUUUUAUUAAUUAUUCAUAUUCUGGUAUAUUCUAUAUAAAGUGAAAUUGUAAUUCGAAAUAUAUUGUGCAAUUAUUAUUAUUGUAUAAUUGAUAUUUGAUUGCUUAAAACAUAGGAGAUGCUUUGCCUUAUAUUUGAACUCAAACUUUAGACUUAUAUUCUUAUAUGUGGGUCCAAAAAAAAAAUAAUGGGUUUGAGUAUUUUAAUUUUCUACUCGAUGCAAAGACAUAUUCUGUGAGAUGAAAGAAUGAACUAAAAAUAAAUAAAUUAGAAUAUGAGUCUUUGUGAGAUGAAUGAAGAACUAAAAAAUUGUUAGAAUAUUUUGCUCUAACAAUUUCAAAUUUAUCUCUGUUAUGAGAUGAAUGAAGAACUAAAAAUUAGACAAUUUGUAUCAUUUAAAGAAAAAUUGGAGCUGGCCCCAUAAAGUAUCCCUCGAAUAAGCGAUCUUUGAGCUAUGUGUGUGUUGUGAAGAAUAAAAAAAAUGCGUGUGUUAUUAGUAUAUGCACUCAGGGGUGGAGCCGCCAAGGGACUAGAAUGGUCACAGGCCCGUCCUAACUUGUGAAUUGUCAGAAAGGUUAAUGAGAUCUACAUAGUGACCUCAAACCUUUAUUUCCAGAGGCAAGAAACUCAUGGAAGAAGAUGAGGCGAAUGACAUCAUUAGGUCUUUUUGGUUUUAUAUGUUUUGGUUUUAUAUUUAAUGAAACGAUGAGUUUGAUAGGGGAUUUUAUUACAAGACACUAGCAAUUUUGAAUAGAAAAGCAAACCCACUAUUUUCUAAGGGAAGUAAUUGUCACACACCAUUUUUAACUUCUCACACUUCUUUAUUUAGGGCCCAUCGAAUUAAAUAAAUCAAACAUGAGUUGUAAGAAGAUACAAAGAGUGUGCAAAUUACUUCUCUAUUCUCAAGCAACUCACCCCCUUCAUUGUUCGCAGACCUCUUCCCUUACCCUUCUUUUUUCUACCAAAUUAGAUUUCUUAGUAUUUCUCUACCUCUUUCUUGGUUGUCUUGGUUUGUGUAAUUUUUUUUAUUCUCUAUUGAAUUUAUGAGGUCUUUCAAUUUGUGUAUUCUACUUGCUCUUUAGUCCUAUUUUAGUACACACUAGCUAUUAGUACCCGCACGUUGCUGCGGGUUUUUAAACUGUAUAAAACAUGUAGAAAGUUAUGAUGUAUAUACAUGAUAGACAUUAUUUACACACGUGAAAAACUAAUUGCAACCUUAAAAAGGUUUUUACUUGAACAUAACGAAAACAUUUGCACGAAUUUUAGUAAGAACUAAGUAAUAUAUAUCAAGGGAUCCCCUCUAGUGUACAAUUUGCACAACUCAAGAAUUUCCAAACUUGGAAUGGUGAUCAAAGUCGUUUGCUCAAAAAGAAAUAACAUAGCUAGAAGUGAAAAAUGGAAAACCUAACUUAUGUAAAAAUAACAUUAUUUCUAUAGACAUAUUUGAAGUGCCGAAUAUGGGAACAUACUUAUUAGUCAUCGGAUUACAAACCUUAGCAAGAACAAACAGCAAUUUCUGCACCAUUGUUUUCUAGCUUCAUAGUUCACAAAGUCGGACCUAUGUAACAAAUCUCUCCACGUCUUUGGGACUUUUUUAAGCAAUCCAUGAUACCCAUGUGACACUGUUGGCAAACAUUUCAUUUUCAAAUCAUCAGGAAAUCCAAGAAUAAUAUAUUGGUGCAAAGAUUGUAAUCGAAAAAAUUGUUAAAUAAACCAACCAAAUACUUGAGACAAAAAAGGGCAAAACUACAUGCAUAUAGAACUGAAGGAGAAAAUUUAUAUAUAGAAAAUACAAUGCUCUAAGCACAAACCCGGGAGCACAAAACACACGAUUGAUAUUCACAUUAAUCAGCUAAUACCAGAAUCACUAACCAAGAAAGACCUGAUAGUAAAGAGUUUUAGUUAUGUACAGAGUUUGCAUCUGCUGCAAGUCUCCAAGUACUUUUGCCGGGACUUCAGUGAAGGGAAGGGAAAAAGAACUAGACUCUAACAUAAAGUAUUUUAUAAAUAUCAUACAUUGUCAUGAAAAACAUGUAUUUUCAAAUUAUGGAAACAAUUUAUACAUCAAUAGAGCAGACAACGGGAACUGCUAAAGCACCAAUAUAAAAAAUAAAAAGCAUCAGUGGACAUAGAGCCUAUGAUAAACGUCAAGUAAUUGACAUUAAGUCAAAAAGGCAUCUGCUAAAGUGUAAUUAAACCGACCUAGUUUAAUAACUAUCCAAACCAUGAAUAAGAUAUUGUUGGAUCAUCAUCCAAGAACUGAUUCAGAUGAUUCCCAUCGUCAAAUAGAUUUUCCCUGGUGCAACAUAAGAGCAUUGUUGAGAACCAAUGGAAGAAAAUAGGUUAACAACGGAACCAUAUAUGUGAGGCAAGUUGGUUUGACAUGAAAAAAAAAAGUGAAAUUGUCCACUUAAAAGUCACGCAUUAUUGUUUAAGACUCUUCUAAAAGGUAACUUUUUGUUCUAAUCCAUAACCUAGAACAAUGUUCAAAACCUCAUUCUGAAAUUUUAUCUGGGUACUAACUUCUAUAAUUUCCAAAUCACAAAAUUCCAGUAUGGGUAUGACGAAACACAAUCAAAAAAUCAAAUUCUUUGUGUACAGGACAACAUAAAGAUUAAGACUUUUUUUUUUACUUCUACAACUCUACACACUUUCGAGCCCUAAAUUUUCCCGGAAACAAACAGAAAGUGAAUGAAGUCGUACCUGGUUCGAAAGAGAGGACGCUCCAGUUUGGUGAAACAGCGAUGGCAGAGAUCUCUGGUGAGAGAGCUAAUAAGAUGGACCAAACCAUUGAACAAAAAAAUCCAGAUUCUUAAAAUUAAAAUCACAAAAUUUUGAACAAAGAAAAGAGAACCUAAAACAAAUAUGUCCGAGAACUCACCACGAAACCCAAGCUUUCUGAGUUUAAAAUUUCUUCAAAUCAAAACGGGAGCCAAGCUUUUCAGGGUAUGCCAGAGUAGAAUUGGACUCGGAUGAAGCGAAUUCAAGGAAUUUUAGUUUUGUUGUGAGGAGAACAACAUGAACAACCCAAUCCAAACAAAAUUCUAGAGAGAGACAGAGAACGUACCACGAAAUCUAAGCCCCUUGAGGAAUUUCUUCGAAUCGGAACGGGAUAAACAACAUAUGUUCUGGUUCGUGCAAAAUAGGGAGAGAGAACUGGAGUUCGUGUAGCAAAUGGAGGACUACCGGAAGCAAAUGAAACGCCCAGCUUUGUGAGAGAGAGAAGUGGAAAGGGAAGGAAAAUUCGAGAUGUAGUGGAAACGAAGCAGCCGACGAUGAUCGACGCGUGGGCAGCGUGGAAAAAUAAGUAAAUCCACUGUGCGAGGAGGGAAAACAACGGAGAAUAGAGAAGCAAAAAAGAGCAUUACCGUCAUUUCACUGUUUAUGAACAGUGAAAACAGUGCUAAAGGGAACCCAGUAUAUGCAUAAUAUCUACUUGUGAAAAGCAUCAUUUCACGUACAAUUCUAACUCUGCCACUGUACACACAUGAAACGUUAGUGUUGUACAAAGAAAACUUUUUGCAACUAAUAAGCAAGGAAGAAAAUAUCGGUAAUAUCGGAAAUAUCGACAGUCUGAAAACACGGAAAUAUCGAUGGAAAUAUCGGGAUAAUAUCGAUAUCGAUAAAAAUUACAUGGAAACCACAGAAAUUGUAAGAAAAACUUGGAAAUUUUUUAAUGAAACUUUGCAAGAUGUUUAUUUAGUCAAUUAUCUAUUAGUUUAUCACAAAAAAUUGAAAGGAAAUGUAUUGCAUGAUGGAUUUAACUGAUUUAAGUUGAUUAUAUAGCGAGCUGGCAAACAUUGUGAGUGUAGAAAAUAUGUAGUAAUUAAUUAAAGAAGUUUAAACACACCAUAAUCAUUUAUAUAUAACUAAUUAGUACAAUAUUGGGAGGUUUUAUUUAGGAUAUUAAAAAAAAAAAAAGGAAUUGAAUAAAAUGAUGAAGAAUAAUGUGCCGAAUCUGACACUUUAAAUUUCUUACACAUAAGCAUGCGUCUAGGCGUUGAAGUUCCAAAUUAUAGUAUAUCAAUUAACGAUUGAAAAUCAAUAGGUUGAAUAAGACUAAACUUUAAUUUGGAUGCCGAUUAUGUUUUUUCAAGUUUAUAUAAAGUAAAAGAAUUGAAUUUUGGAAGCCAAGAGUGUGUCAAUUGUUCUAUAAUGCGUCCGGUCAAACCACGACGAGUUGGCUGGCGUACAAGGUAUCAAUCUCUUCGUCUCGUCGAGUAGUACAACUUUCCUUUUUGUUUCACUCAAUUUCGUUGAGUAUUGAAAAAAUUAUACUCAUUUGAAUCUUACCCAGUUUCCGGCGACCGCAGUGACUUUCGAGGUAUUUUCCGGCCAAACCACAACGAGUCAGACUUCGUGUGAGGUAUCAUUCUCUUCGUCUCUUCGAGGGCUACAACUUUCGUUUUUGUCUUGCUUGAUUUCGUUGACUUUUGACAAAGUUAUGGCCGUUUAAAGUGGGUGUAAAUGUUUGGCCGAAAUUCUGAUUUUCUCUCCCUUGGGCGAGUCCCACAUCGCCCAUGCGAGGGCAGUGAGCAAGCAAUUUGUCCUAUAAAACCCACAUUCCCCUGCUUAGAAAGACAUAGCUUGUUCGGCCUUUGGGCUAUGAUCAAGUGAAGUGUGUGUUGAGUUUUCUUAACAUAUUUAAGUAUUUUUUAGUAUUAUGUCGCGAUAUUAUCGAUAAUUUCGAAAAUAUCGCGAUAUUAUUGAUAUUAUUGAUAAUAUCACGAUAUUUUAACGAAAAUUGUUCGGAUAGUUAAAAAAAUAUCGAACUUCCAAAUAAACGAUAAUAUUGUCGAUAUUUCGCCGAUAUUAUCGAUUUUUUCUUCCAUGCUAAUAAGUUGUGUGAAAGGUGGCAACAAAACAGUAGGUUUUUAUUUUUCUAUUUUAUUAUUGUUUUCAAUUAUUAUUAUUAGCAAUGAGACACAUGCUAUGCAUGUGCUUAUUGAUAUUUUGAAAAUAAAACUUUACAAAGAGAUAAAAUAUAAAAUGGCCACUAAAGCUUUUUGGUGACAACCUUCAAACGAUUUUUUGUCGAUGUAGAGGAUGUUCAUAUCUUUAGCGAUUGUUUUUUAAUAACUAUUUCGUCGCUAAAAGUUUAUUUUAUUUGGGAGAAAAAUGUGGAAGAGAAAAUGGAAGCAACUAAUAUGGUUAAAUGGCUAUGAGGCUUUGAAAAAAAAUACAGUAAAAUUAUUUUGUGUUUAAUUUACUAUAUUGCCCAUAAAUUUAUUUUUAGUUAUUUUUCUUUAGUUUUCUUGAUAGGGUUAAUUUGGUCUUUUCACCAUUUUUAGCUGACAAAGAGAGUUUUGUAAUGUGAAAUUUGGAAUUGUGCUUAUUAGUAUUUUGAAAUAAAAUUUGGCAAAGAGAUAAAAUAUAAAAUGGUCUUUAAAGCUUUUUUGUGACGAUUUGAGUUUGCGCCUUCCACCAAAACAGAGAUGAGGUUUUUAUGUAGAGGCAGGGGAUUUUCCAGAAAAAUGACUUCUUUUCUCUACAUUGGCUAUAGAAGUCGACUCUUCAUGUAAGCUUGAUUUAUGAGAUGAGGAUGAAAUUUACAUGAAUUUGCCGAUGUCGGUCAGAGUUUUUGUUCACCAUAAUUGAUGUAAGAUGAGGGGGAGGAGGUGAGAGAGAGGACGAGAAGGAGACAAUGUUGUGUCUAUGUGGUAGUUAACAUCAACGUGGAUGCGGACAACGAGGACUCAUUCCACCUACUAUUGCCACAACAAAUUUAUCGGGAAUUUUUUUUACCACCACCCUCAAGUGAUGAUAAUGCUCACCACUCUAUCUAUUACUUUUAGAUGAGUUUAAAUUUUGAUAUAUGUGUAGUGAAUAGACUCGAAUCUCAAAAUUUAAACUCAUCUUAUGAUGACAAAUUGAGUGGUAAGCAUUACCAUUAUUUGAGGGUGGUGAACAAAAAUAUUCCCAACCAGCAGAAAUCCCAUCUUUAAUUUUAUUGCCAGUUGGAUGAUCCAACGAUUAAGGUUAGGACUAGGGGUGGGUUCGGUUCAAAUCGGUUCGGUUUUUUGCCAAAACCGAAACCGAACCGAAAUUUCGGUUCGAUUCAAUUUUUUUCGGUUUUUUUUUGUUCGGUUUUUUUUCGGUUCAGUUUUUUCCAGUUCGGUUUCGGCUUUUUUUAAAAAAAUGAAAAAUUUUGAAAUCUUAAAUUUUAACAUAUCCAAUACAAUCAUAACAUAAAUAUUCCAACUAGACUUAAAGAUAAUGAAAAUAAACAUUUAAAGUUCAACUAGAAUUAUAACAUAAAGGUUUUUUUAAAUAUUUUGGGUUUAAAGUUUAACUGUAAAUAGAUUUCUUUUUAGACGAUGAUAAUGGAGUACGACCUUAUUCAUUCCUCUCUUUCUCUCAAUCUCUCUCUCUCUCUCUCUCUCUCUCUCUCUAUACAUGUAUUCUUCACUAGCAAUAAGAUAAACAUUCUAUAAUAUACUAUUUAUUUUGGUUAUUGUCUAGGUAACAAUUUUUUAUAUUUUCUUUAUCUAUAUGGUCCGAAUUUUUUUUAUCCAUAUAUGUGGUUACAUAAUUGAUAUACUUUUCAAAAUUGUUAGGCCAAGGAAGCUACUAUACUUGGCCAUAGGUGAGAAAGUUUGAAUUUUGUUUUUGAUCUUGUAGCGUUUAAUAAACUCAUGAGACUUUUAUACGCUGUUUGCUUUCCCUAAUCAACUGUAGUGCAGUUGAGAUAUGUGUUCUUAUAUAUGUGUUGCACUUAAUGAUAGAAACUAGAAACAUUGCAUGUAAUGGUAUAAGUUCUAAUUUUUGUUGUAGAUGGAGAAGCUGAGAAGACAAUUUGAAUUGGAAAGCAAACAAGUCUUACCAAAGCAGCAGUCCGAAGUAUCAUAUUUUAAUAUAAUAAAAUCAAAUAAUUAAAUAAAAAAAAUUAAAAAAAUAUUAAUUUAAUUAUUUUGGUUCGGUUUCUAGACCACCAAAACCGAACCGAACCAAAAGAGUUUGGUUCGGUUCGGUUUUUUCAAUUCGGUUUGGUUUUAUCGUUCGGUUCGGUUCGGUUUUCGGUUUUUUUGGGUUUUCGGUUUUUUGAACCCACCCCUAGUCAGGACUAUAUAAAAUACAUGUGUAUUGUAGUUAACUCCUAGUUAAGGAAUAAUCGAAUCUUAGAGUUAGGGUUCUCAUCUACUUUGUCUCCAAAAGCUUUUGCAAUUUUCAGGAAUAAAGGGUAUAUUAGUCUUUUUACAUUAACUUUUAGUUAGAAUUAUCAAAGAAAAUAAAUUGGCUAAACUUCUACACAGUAAAUCUGAUGUCAUGUUCAAUAAGUGUCGCAAUUGUCUAGUCCGACACUAUAUUAUAUUAAAACGACACCACCUACUGACACUAUAAGGCCAUUUUGUAGUAUUGAAAUACCCUUUUGUAGUACGUAGUUUAGAUUAUUAUUUUAUGAGAAAAGAGUCUAUUCACUUGAUAAAAGAAAACCAAGUAGACAAAGCAAAAUGGUGACAUUGGGCUAGUCCAAGCUUUUGAUGUGUAUGAUGGGUCCAGUCCAGGAUUUCAAUUAGAUUAGUUUUUCUUGUUCAAGCAAAUUUUUAGUGGUUUCAUGUUUGAAGAUGGUGCUUUACUGAAGUGCUGGAAAAUAAUUAUGCAUAUGCACUUGGUGCGGAUUUAAUCCUCACUAAGUUCCGUCUUCCUAACAACUAACUAUCUAACUCACUAAAACUAUCGCUCUACUAAAAAAAUAGUAGCUUCAUAUUCGAGGCUCAAAAUGUAUCAUACCUCUUACAGCCCAUUUCGGAGCCCAAAUAAAAGAAUGCACCACACCUCUUACAAUACAGAUAUUCACACAAAAUUUUUCUUUUGCUCUUUACUUUCUAUAUUUUUUUUAGCUUCCAUUCACCCAAAACUUUUAGGGUUAAAUACAGUUUUGGUCACUGUGUUUGGAUCGAAAUCUAAUUUGUAUUCGGUUUAGCAAAUUUAGUUACUAUGUUGUUAAAAAAGUUAGUAAUCCUGGUUGCUUUAGUAGUCUUCAGUUAAAAUCGUAAAAGAUAUAAUUACCCUUUUUCUUUACAACAAAUAAAUGAGAAAUAACACAUAUAAGAGAUAAAACUUUCAAUCUGAAAAAUGAUUAAGGUUGUGACAAAGAAAAAAGAGGGGGUAACGUUAGGGAGGAGGUCAAGGAGUUGGGAGGAGAAUAAUUUUUCUUUUAAUUUUUUAUUUUAUUUCAUAUUUAAAUAUUUCAAAUCAAAUAAAUAAUUUUAUAAAUAAGUUUAUAGUAGUUUAUAAAUUUUUCACAAAACUUAGAUGAAAAUGUCUUUAAUUGGCUAACUGAAAUAAACACAAAGAUCAAAUUGGCCAAAUUGAAAACAUAGGGACUAAAUUGACCCAAUGACUAAAACACAAGGACCAUUCUAACAUUUAAGCCAUUUUAAAAUUGAAACUAAAUAAAUAAGAAAAGAAUGAAUUGAGGGAUCGGGGAAGAUGAGUCAGCCACCACCACCUACAAACCACCACAUGACCCUCUAAAGGGUAAUUGAGUACACUGAACAAUUAUUAAAAGGGAGUUCUACCAUACAUGUCAUGCAAGAACUCCUAAGAUGCAAUAAUGCAAAGUAGUCCUUUGACAUAAGGCAUUAUAGUUGUCUAGUGAUUAGGUCCUUGAUCUUCGACAGUGUCAAAGGCAUUCUAUCGAGAGUUUCCAUGACAUCAUCAAGCUUAAGCUGCCUAGUCAUAUAGUACGACAAGGGAUCUCUAACCUUCCAUAGUGGAAAAAUAAUACUUUGAGGUACGAUUCAAGAGUCUUUGGCCAAAGCAAAUAAAUGAUAUUUAGGAAGUACGUCACAAACUACAUUCAAUAGAAUCAUAAACAAUGUGAUCAAGAGUAUUGAAUUAGAAAAGUACCGUAUUGCAUUGUAGUUGUAACUGGAUAGGUUCUCCAACCACUUUUGAUUAGCUUAAGUAGCCAUGACAUACUACUAGAUGUCACUCAUUGUGACACACCCCGACUGGAGUCGAGGCAUGCUAGCUGACACUUGAAGGUGACGCAGCCAAAGUGUAGGUGACGUGUAAAAAUAUGAAUAAAUUUAAAUUGAAGCUAAAAUUUAUUUAAACUAAUAAAGAGAGUGCGCAAUGGUGGGAAGAACCCAUAAUACACAAGUAGUCAGAGCAUAGAUGACAGUGCGACAUAAGCAAGACAAUCAAACUCGGUAUAAUAAUUAUUACACAACAGAAAAUAAACUCCUACAUUUAUUUGGGUGGAUGUCAGAAUCACCAGUGAUCCCUCGUUUGCCAUAGAAGAUUCAACUAACUAAGUCCUAGAGGGGCAAAAAAUAGAAAGUGUGAGUGGGCAAAAACAAAGGUUUGAGAAAUACAUUUAUUUUCAUAACAUACUAACCCCCUUGCCGUAAAACAAGUAUAGUUUCCAAAAAAUCAUACUAUGUAUGGAAUAAAAAAUAGUUCCAUAAUAAUCCAAGUAACACAAAUGAUCAUAAUAUCAACAACAGCAUAUAAAAAAUCCGUUGCUCAUCAAUAUAUGCUAACACUCGAGUUCAUGUAGAUAAAUUCUGACAUGAACAAGACUCGGUGUAAUCGUAAUAUUCGCUCUAGUACUACAAUCACAUGAAGACUGGCGCUAAGCGCAUCACAUAGGACUCCUAGUUGCCUAUUCCAACCUAGGACAAGAAUGGGACCUACAAUGGAUCCAAAGUGAGUGUGUCGGUGUUAUGUGAACAUACACGUGAAGCUCGACCCUAGCUCGGGGUGAGUCCUCCACCGGUGCAAGCAUGCAUGAUGAGCAGAUAAUGUGUAUAUGAACAUGCCAUGACAAUUUAUAAAUCUUAACAACAUAAUAGCACUAUUAAGAUGAAAUAAAAACAUGGCAUGAUAUGCAUAAUAUUAAAUCGAAAUGCAUUUGUGGAAACCAUAAGAAUUUAUAUAUAAUAUAUUUAAAAAUAAAUGGCCACUCAUUGAUACGUAGUCGGAUCGUAGCCUCCUAGCCUUACUUCACCUCGAAGCUGCUCAAGAUAAUUCUCCCCUAUAUGUGAAACAACUAUAAUAAUUAUUUAAUUAAAACAUACACGAAAAAAGCUAGGAAUUUCCCGUUUAGUUUUCUCAAACGAAGGGUUUAAAUAUACGAAAAUAUUCUACGCGACUUCACGGACCCUCACAUGUAGAACAUGCGCCACCACGAAAUGGCAAGAGUCCACACGUGCCUUCACGUGCCCCUGCAUGCGGACACACGUGAAGAAAACGCGCCUGCAUGCACUGGUAGAGAGCUAGGGAAUAUUCUGUGAAACUAACAAGAUAUUCCGUUAAAUAUAACGAAAGAUUCUGGUGUAUACCUUAACAACAUGAGAAUAUUUCGUCAAGCUCAACAUAAUAUUCUUCUUCUUCCUCAAACUUUCAGUCACUGUCACUGCCAUUCACUACCCCCGUCUGGUUCACUGGAAACAAAAAAGAUGCCAAUUUUUCUUAAAAACUUUAAAACCUCACAACUUCCUCAUUUCUCAAACAUUUUCGACGUUCAUUAUAUGGAAAUGAAGCUUCGAAGGAGGAGAAUAAGGUUAAACCUUUUGGGAGUCCAACAAAUGGAUGGAGGUGGAUUGAAAAUGGCUCGAAAGACUUGGCCCUUUUUUCGACAUCUCGUAACUAUGUGUUUUCAAAUUGGCUUGGCUUCAAACUUAGGCUAGGGACCUCAAGGAGUUGUGUGGUGGCUUCUAAAUCUUCCAAAAUGUUACAACUUGGACUAAAAAUCACUUAAGAAACUCCACCCGAGUCGAAGCUCCGAAUUGGGAACUCAAGACUCAGUUGUUUUCGAAUUAGAAGGUACGAAUGAGAUCGUGGUGAUGAGAUCAGUGCGAUGGUGGUGGUUUGGGCGUUGACCUAUAACCUUUCUAGGGUGGUGAAUUGUGUUGUAGAGAAGAAGAUAGAUACGUUGUGGUAAAGAAAGCGAGAGUGAAAUUACUUUAGUUGGACAAGAGAGAGAAAGAGAGGGAAGAAAAGUGAUUGGAUGGUAAGUAUGGUCUACCUUAAGGGAACCAGAUUUAAAAGGGAUGUGUCCACAAUUAGACAAUUCUAGGAGUUAAAAAAAAUCUACCUCUCCUUAUCUAAAAUAGUGUCCACCGACACUAGGUAACAUACACACAUGUGUACACUUUUACUAGUUGUUAACGAACUUUAAAUUAGAGUUGUUUCUUCAUUACAAAUCCGAUUCGGGUUUAAUUCAUGCUCACGCAUUUGUAAUAACGAGUACUAAUUAAUUAUGAUAAUAAGAAAACAAACUAAAUGCCGAGCAUCAAACGUCCACAUCAGAUUCCACUUUUUCCAAAAGGGCACACUUAAGAAGGAGAUUACAUGGAAAAUUAGGGACGGGCCAUCACAACCUACCCCCUUAAGAAAAGUUUGUCCCCGAGAUUUAUACACUACUGAGGAUUAUAGUCAAAGAACAAACGUGGAUAAUGAGCUCACAUGUGUUCCCCCGUCUCCUAAGUAGCUUUUUCAAUUACGUGGUUUCCCCAUAAGACUUUCACUAGUUGAAAAUUUUUAUUUUUGAGAACUUUUUCUUUCCAAUCUAGAAUCGUCAUUGGAACCUCAUUGUAAGUCAAGUUUGGGUUAAUCUUCAAUGGCUGGGGAUGAAUCACAUGUGACGGAUUAGAGACGUAUCUUCGUAGCUUGGACAUGAGGAACACAUUAUUUACCCUUAAUAAUUCUGGAGAUAAGUCAAGUUGGUAGGCAACUUCACCAACUUGCUCUAUAAUUUGAUAUGGCCCAAUAUAACGAGGACUUAGCUUUCCUUUCUUCCUAAAAUGUACCACACCCUUCCAUGGUGAUAGCCUUAAGAAUACCCAAUCUCCAACAACAUACACCCUGUCUGUUGAAUGUUUGUUUGCUAUACUCUUUAGUCAAUCUUGUGCAACUAUCAGGUUUUCUUUUUAUCACUUGAAUAUUCUAUUUCAUCUUGUCUACUAUUUCAAGACCCACUAAAGCUCUUUGGCCAACCUCGGACCAACAUAAUGGUGUACGACAAUGUUUCCCAUAUAGUGCCUCGAAUGGUGACAUACCAAUGCUUAAGUGGAAGCUGUUGUUAUAGGAAAAUUCUAUCAAAGGUAAGCAUUUGUGCCAUUCGUUUCCAAACUGAAGGACUGAAGAUCUCAUCAUGUCUUUAAGCGUCUAAAUAGUUUUCUCGGAUUAUCCAUUGGUCUGAAGAUAAUGAGCGGUACUGUAGAGUAAAUUCAAACCUAGGGCUUUGUGAAAAGCUACCCAACUUUUCGAUGUAAAUCUAGGGUCAUGAUCAUAAAUAAUACUAGCUGGAACACCAUGGUAUUUGACAAUUUCAUAGACGAAAGGCUCAGCUAACUGACUUCACGAGUAGUUUUCAUGAAUAGGUAGGAAAUACGCUGACUUGGUAAGUCAGUCAACAAUCACCCAGAUGCCAUCAUAGCCAUUAUGUGUGCGAGGCAGCUUGUACACAAAAUCUAUAGUACUAUUAUCCCAUUUCCACUGAAGUAUAGGAAGUGGCUGUAGCAGCUCGAAUAGUUUCUUUCUUUCUGCUUUAACCUGCUAACAGAUUGGACAAUGACUCACGUACUCAACAUAUUCUCUUUUCAUUCCUAGCCAAUAGUAGAAAGGUUAGAUGGUAUUAUACAUUUUAGUACUCCCGAGAAUCAUCGCAUAAGUGGAAAUGUAUGCCUUAGUAAGAAUUUAUUUCUUCAGUUCUUCCAUAUUCGGUCACCCUGCGUAAGUAUACCAUUAUCUUUUUGUAUUCAAAGAUCUCUUAUGUUACCAUUCAACACCUCUUGUUUCAAUUCCAGGGAUUCUGAGUCAUUCAUCUGAGACUUGAAAGUUGGCUAGUAAGGCUCCCUGAUCAACUCCCAAGAUGGCUCCAAUAGUUCUAAGGUUAAUUAGAAGAGGAAAAUGACAUGCAUAAAGAACAUUGAGUUGACCGUGAGAUUUUCUACUGAGAGCAUCUGCCAUACUAUUCCUACGACUGGGAUGAUAUUCAAUAGUGGUCAUAGUCGCUGAUGAACUCCAUCCAUCUAUGCUGCCAGAGGUUAAGUUCUUUAUGAGUAAAGAUAUAUUUGAGGCUUUUGUGAUCAAUGAAGAUUCGACAAGUUCCCUAUAGAGAUAGUGCUGCCAAAUUUUUAGAGUGAAAACAAUAGCUGCCAAUUCCAAAUCAUCGGUAGAGUAGUUCAUCUUAUAGGGUUUUGAUUGUCGCGAAGCAUAUACGAUUACCUUUCCAUGUUGCAUCAACACACAUCCCAAACCAUUUAGAGAGGCGUCAUUGUAGAUCUCGAAAUUUCCACUGUCAUCGGGAAAUGCCAGGAUAGGUGCAUGAGUAAGACAUCACUUCAACUAUUAGAAACUCCGUUCACAAUCAUCAUUCCAUGUGAAUUUAACUAUUUCCUGGUCAACCUUGUCAGAGGUAGCGCUAUGGCUGAAAAAUCUUUCACAAAGCAUCGAUAAUAGUCGGCUAGACCAAGAAAACUCUAUACUUCAAUGACGGUCUAAGGUUGCUCCCAAUUUUCCACUACAACAACUUUAUGAGGAUCCACGAGAAUACCUCACGUGUCCCAGGAAAGACACCUGAUCCAACCAAAACUGGCAUUUACUGAAUUUAGCAUACAAUUGAUUAUCCCUUAACUUCUUUCAAACCAAACGCAGAUGUCUAGCAUGGUCAGCCUCAUUCUUGGAAUAUACUAAAAUGUAAUCAAUGAAGACUAUUAUGAACUUAUGAAGGUACGAACGAAAUACCCAAUUCAUUAGGUCCAUAAAAGUUGCUAAAGCAUUUUUUAACUCGAAUAGCAUCAAUAGAAACUCAUAAUGACCAUAUCGAGUUAUGAAGGUUGUUUUCAAAACAUUGUCACUUCUAAUUUUUAACUGAUAUGAACCAGACCUUAAAUCAAUUUUUGAGAAAACGCAAGCACCACAGAGUUAAUAACAAAGAUUGUCAAUAUGAGGUAACAAAUAAUAAUUUUUAAUUGUUACCCGAUUCAACUAUCUGUAAUCAAUACAUAGCCUUAUAGUUCCGUCAUUCUUUCUUACAAACAAGACUGGAGCUGCCCAAGGGGAAGUGCUGGGCUGAAUGAAACCCCUUAUCAACAAGUUCUUGUAACUGGGUCUUCAAUUCUCUCAACUCUGUAGGUGUCAUACGAUAAGGUGCUAGAGAAAUAUGAUCAGUACCUGAAAGUAGGCUGAUGAUGAACUUCACUUCUCGAUCCAGUGGUAAGCCAGGUAGAUCAUCGAGAAAAACAUCAAGAAAAUAAUUAACUACUCAUAUAUCUUCAAUUCGUGUAGGAAUAUCUUCAGUCAUCAUUACGUGAGCCAAGUAGCCUUAGCAACCAUUUCUCAACAUUCGUUUUGCCUUCACGGCGGAAAUGACUCCGUGUCUCAGACAAUUACGUUCACCAACAAAGGUUACAAUAGGCCUGCUUGGUCGAUGGAAUGUAACGAUUUUCUCACGACAGUUCAACAUGACAUAAUUGAGAUCUAACCAAUCCAUGCCUAAGAUUACAUCGAAGUGAACAAUAUCCAAAGGAACGAGAUUAGCUGGCAUUACUUCAUUCUCAAUAAGGAUUCGAUACUCUCAAUGAACAUAAAAAAUCUCACUUCUAGGAAUUGAGAAUUCUAAAUCAUAUCCAAGGGGAGUAAGGUGUGGUUGAGUCUUUUAAGUGCUUUACUAUCCAUGUAUGACUUUGAAAGCCUAUGUCUAUAGCACUACAUAUCAUAUUUUUCUUCAAGUCUUUAAUUGAGUUUAGCUCUUUUGUUUGGAAGUAUAGAUAUUAGAUUUGUUUUCAUCUGUGUUAUAUGUGAGAAAUGUCUAAUUAGCUGUAGCUUAAUGAUACUAAGAUUAUUCUCAUCUCAUGUGUUAUUUGUUGGUCUUAAGUGUGGUAUCCUCUAAGGGUCAUUGCUUUUGGUACCAAAAUUGUUCUCAAAAUGUGUGUUUGCUUUUUCUGUCCAGUCGUUGGUACUCAUAAAAAAGAGUUGUUCUUUAAGGGUAUUUCGAUCUUUGCACUUUAUGUUUUAACCUUCAAAAUCUCAAUUGUUUAUACCAUCUAUACAGUUCAGAUUAUUUCACAUUAUCAUAGGCAUUUACCCCUUCUAACCCCAUUAGGUUUUUACAUUCACCCUUAUUUGUGCCAUUUGCUCUCAUCCUCUCACUCUCUUUUUUCAAACUAGGAGCAAAUGUUACCAUAGAAGAGUUUCGAUCAUGUCUUCGAGUCAAACAUCAUCCCAUCACUCCAGUAUGCAACCUAAUCUUCCUCAUCGCAAAACUUAUUCAAAGCUGAUAAUGAACCUUCAGACACUCUGCCGCCCAUGUUUCCCACAUCUCGAGCCAAGAAAUUUUUCGAUGUUAUAGCUGCCAAAAAAGUUGUUCUUGAGAGAAGAAUUGUCUUGGAUGACCUCCUUGUGUCUGAUGCCAUCUUGUCUGAUGAUACAAACUUUAUCGGUAAACUCACCUCCUUUUACCUUCAAUCUUUCAAUGGUUCAAGAAUUUUAUGCAAAAGUUUCGUCUAAGUUUCUUGACUCUGGUGGUGAAGUGUAUGUUUAUGAAGUCCUUGUCCAAUUCGAUUCAUCUGUCAUCUGCUCUGUUUUAAGCCUUGAGCCUCUUAUGUUUCUGAUAUGUACAACUUUGACCUUCUGACAUGUCAAUAUGACAUGAAAUCUUAUCAUCAAGAAGCUUAUUUGGACCUGUCCACUCCUCUGGUUAAAAAUCAUGUGUCAAAAUCUCGUCUUAAACCGUUUUAUAAGAUUUGGUCUGACUUUAUUCAUAGAAAUAUUCUAGGCUCGUCAAAUAAUGGAAAUCAUACUCUAAAGUCAGCAAAAAUAUUGCAUGAUAUGUUAAGUCUGUCAGAUGUUCCAUUUGGGUACUUGAUAUUUAGGUCCAUUAUGUAAAAAAUCAAGCAUCCUAGGAAACAACAAAGAGGCUCUACAAUUCACUCGUGUCUAAUCACCUUGUUGUGUUAACGUGUAAACUUCCCCUCUCGCUCUGAUGAUACGUGUCCUCAAUCCACAAAGGAUUUGGAUAAAGGGUUUAUGAACCUAAGCAAAAAAUUGCUUAUCUAGAGUCUGAGAUUAACUAUCUCGGUAGAAAGUUUGUUAAGUUUCAAUCGUCAAUAAGUCAACUUGCGUCUUUACCUCAUGCACAGUCAUUGAGUCAGUUUUCCCAAAAUCCAUCUUUAUUUGUGCCUAAGUUCGUUGUUCGUCCUCCUAAAUUAACUCCUAAAAGCUCAGUGAUUCCUUCACCUUCCAUAGUUGCUCCUUAACGUCAAAUUGUACCAUUGUCACCAUCCUAUUUCACUGCCACCUCAUUUGCUCAUUCUCGAGAUGUUGCUACAAAGAUGGCUGUAACUUAUGCUGCCAAAGGAAAAAAGGUUGUCUUUCAUGGAACAUUGAAACUAUCCUCUCUCCCUGUUCCUAUGGCCAAGCAUAUUAGGUUCAAGUACUCAGAUGUUGAGGAGGAUGAAGCUGAAGAGGAUCUUGAGGAAGACCCUGCUGAGGAAACUGAGGCCACUGGUUCACCACUUCACUCAAAUGCGUAGUCUCAAUCUGAGAUGUUCUAGAUUAUAUGGGAGUGUGGUUUGGAGUGUAGUCUCUUAGGAGAGCACUAAUCUUGGGGAGUUUAAUUUCUUUUGCGUUGUUAUCAAGCAUUUGCACUUAAACUUGUAAUUUGAAACUCCAAGUUUUUUUGUAUAUGUGCUUGUGCUACUCUUGGUUGUGUUGACACAUGGGUACUUUGAACAUAUUACAUUGACAUGCAUUUAUGUUUCAAUAUUUGGGUACCGCGAAUUGAACCUUGUGCUUAAACUGCUUUGUUAUGUUAUCUCUUUGUUGUUAGUUCUUAUAUACCUUGUUGGUGGUGGUUCAUUUUGUGUUGAGCUAAAUUGACAUAUCAUUUUUGUUGUUCAAUGAAACUGAUGUAUCGUUCAUUUUUAAAUCCUGUGUCUUUGCCAUGACAAAAUGGGGGAGAAAAAUUAAAAUUUGAAAAUUUGUGUUAUGUUGCAAUCAUGUACAAUGCUAAACAAUUUACUUCCUUGCAUUUGCUUUAACCAUGAUAACUUUUCUCUUGGUCCUUGUCAAGAGUAUUUCUUUGCAAGAUUCCUCAUUUAUGUUCUCUUGAGUGAGGUUGAGUGAAUUUAGUUAUAGGGUUUGACUUAAUUUGUUAAGGAAAGCCAAAGCGGGAGAUUUUGAAGUCUAGUUUUAUUGUUUGGCUUCCCUUGUCAAAUGUUGUAAAUUGUACCACACAUGCUCUAGUUAGUUUUAGGGUUUAAAUUACUACUUUGGGAUUAUGCUACUGGAAAUAUUCAUCUUAAGAGCUUAACCUCUCACAUCAAAGUUUGUUUAUACAUAUGCAUUUCAUGCCAUUUAUUUCCAGUACAUUAUGUCCAGUGGUUUUGUCUAGUCAAAUCUUCUCGCUGCUUUCAUGCAAGCUGGGCACACACUUUAAGACAACCCAUAUGGGUCAUUUGACAACUUUUUCUUGAAAAUGUUUUUUCAGCCCUAGAUCUUUCUAGAUUGCUUUUGCACAUGACACAUAGCUUUUCUUGUCCCAUUUCUUGUCUGAAACAAAGCCCACCAUAAAAGCUUCAUCUUUGUUAUUUGGCUUAAAGAUUUAUAUUUUCUGAUAAGGGUUGUUUUCAACUGUGAGUUGCCCCUUAGUUCUUACUUGAAAACUCUAGCCACAAAAUCACACUCAUGCACUAAGUACCCACAUCAUUGCAUAUUAGGGUAGCAUUGCUUUUGUGAUUUUGAUCUUUGUUUUAGGUCAAGUUUUCCUAAGUUUCAAAUCUUUGAAUUGACCUCUUUUUGGAUUCGCGUCAAUUUCAUCUUUCAAGUGUCUGACUAGACAUUGAAUCCAAAUUUCCAUCAACUUCAUCAUAAUAUCAUUUGCAUAAGUUGAUUGGAUUUCGGUGCCACAAGGUGAAGAUGUUAGGAGGAGCUGCCACUUCAUGAAGACUAAAGAAGUCCAUUUCGUGAAAGGCAAGGUUGCACAAAGGUACAAGCUGCUCCGCAAAUUAAGAUUUAAGAAUUGAGCUUGUGUGGUUUUUCCAACCAAAAUCCAGUGCAAUUUAUUGCUUUAUUAGUUUACUUAUCUUCCUUUUUCUUGUGAUAUAUGCUCAUCAUUAUCCGCAAAUAGAUAAGUCCUUGUAACUAAGCUUGUAAAAGUAAAAUGCGCACUAAACUGGAUCUUAGUUAAUUAGGAACAUUUUAGUAAACUAAACUUUAAUUUGAUUUCUUCCACUUUGAGUAAACUAACAUAUCUGAGCUUAAUUGAUGAGUGUUGCUGACUAGUCAGACAAGCACGUAUACAGUUUUUAAACUGUAGGUUAUUCCACUUUGUACCAAUUUCAAAAGGUUUGAGAAAUAUCAUAUCCUAAAACAAGUACAAUUUCUAGAAAAUCAUACUGCAUAUACAUAUAGAAUAAAAAACAAUUCCACGAUAAUCUAAGUAACACAACAAAUCACAAUAUAUCAAUAGUAACAUAUAAAAAAUCGGCGCUCAUCAAUAUAUGCUAACACACGAGUUCAUGCAGAGAAAUUCUGACAUGAACAGGACUGGGUGUAAUCAUAAUAUACGCUCUAGUACUACAAUCACGUGAAGAUUGGCAUUAAACGCAUGACAUACGAGUCCUAGUUUCCUAUUGGAACCUAGGACAAUAUUAGCACCUACAAUGGAUCCAAAGUGAGCGUGUCUGUGUGAUGUGAAUAUACAUGUGAAGCUUGGCCUUGGCCCUGGGCGAGUACUACACCAGUGCAAGCAUGCAUGAUGAUCAAAUAAUGUAUAUAUGAACAUGCCAUGACUAUUUAUAAAUCUCAACAAUAUAAUAGCACUUUUAAGAUGAAAUAACAACAUGGCAUGAUAUGUAUAAUAUUAAAUCGAAAUGCUUUUGUGGAAACCAUAAGAAUUUAUAUAUAAUAUAUUUAAAAACAAAUGCCCACUCACUAAUACGUAGUCGAAUUGUAGCCUCCUAGCCUUGCUUGACCUCGAAGCUCCUCGAGAUAAUUCUCCCCUAUAUGUGAAACAACUAUAAUAAUUAUUUAAUUUAAAUGUACACGAAAAAAGUUAGGAAUUUUCCAUUUAGUUUGCUCAAAUGCAGGGUUAAAAUAUACAAAAACUUACUACAUGACGUCACGGACUCUCACAUGCUGACCACGCACCGCCACGAAGUAAUAGGAGUCCACAUGUGCCCUUACGUGCCGCCUGCAUGCGGACACACGCGCAGCCACGCGUAGAACACGCACCUGCACACACAAGCAGAAAGCUAGGGAAUAUUCUGUCAAACUGACGGGAUAUUCCAUUAAAUAUAACAAAAGAUUCUUGUAUAUACCUUAACGGUGUGAGAACAUUUCGUUAGGCUAAACGGAAUAUUCUCCUUCUUCCUUAAACUUUCGGUCACCGUCGCGCCAUUCACCGCCGCUAUUUGGUUCACCAGAAACUGGGAAAAAAUGCCAGAUUUUCUUAAAAACUUUAAAACCUCAUAACUUCCUCAUUUCUCAAACAUUUUCGACAUUCUUUAUAUGGAAAUGAAGCUUGGAAGGAUGAGAAAAAGGUUAUACCUUUUGGGAGUCUAACAAAUGGAUGGAGGUGGACUAAAAAAGGCUCAAAAGACUCGGCCCUUUUUCCAACUUCUCGAAUCUGCAUGUUUUCAAGUUGGCUUGGUUUCAAACUUAAGCUAAUGACCUCAGGGAGUUGUGUAGUGGCUUUUAACUCUUCCAAAAUGUCAAAACUUGGAUGAAAAUUUUCCAAAGAAACUCUACUCGAGUCAGAGAUCUGAAUUGGGAACUCAAAACUCAUUUGUUUUCGAAUCGGAGCGUACGGAUGAGCUCGUGGUGUUGAGAUGAGUGCGAUGGUGGUGGUUUGGGCAUCAAUCCGUAACCUUUCUAUGGUGGUGAAUUGUGUUGCAGAGAAGAAGAAGAAGAGAGAGAGAGAGAGAGAGUGAGUGAAAUUACUCUAAUUGGACGAGCGAUAGGGAAGGAAAGUGAUUGGAUGGUAAGUAUGGUUUCCCUUAAAGGAAUCGGAUUUAAAGGGAAUGUGUCCACAAUUAGACAAUUCUAUGAGUUAAAAAAAAAAUUCUACCUCUCCUUUUCUAAAAUAAUGUCCACCGACACUAGGUAAAACACACACACACACAUGUACACUUUUACCUAUUGUUAACGAACUUUAAAUGAGCAUAGUUUCUUCGUUACAAAUCCAAUUCAAGUCUAAUUCACGCUCACACAUUCGUAAUAACAAGUACUAAUUAAUUACAAUAAUAUGAAAACAAACUAAAUGCCUAGCAUUAAAUGUCCAUGCUGGAUUCCACUUUUGCUAAAAAGGCAUAUUCAUCGUUUUACGUACUUGGGAAGGAGAUUACAUGGAAAAUUAGGGACGGGUCAUCACUCAUUGUUUGUGGAAGCCCUGAAGAUCAACAAACGCUAAUCUUCAGCAAAGGGAGAAUUGAAAAUUAGUAUAAAUACACUAAUGAUUGUUAAGAUUUACAAUCGACUACUGCCUCGCUAACUGGAAACUACUGGAUCGUACACCGAACAAUGAUGAAUGUGAAGAAAUAUCAAUGAGGUGGAUAAGCAAUUAAAUGGUUUAAUUGAGUAUGGUCAAGAUUAAUUAAUUGCUUAAUUAAUCAUACCAAUAGUUUCAUAUUUGCUUUAUGUUAGUUUCAGGAAUUUAGUCCAAAAAUAAAGAGGGAGGCCGUCCGCAUGCAAGGGAAUUGGUGAUGAACUUAUUACAAGUUUGUCACAGAAUUGUGAGGAUGUGUUAAUGCAACUUUAUUGUCUUUCCCUCAUUAGGGUUUUCUUGAGGCAAAAAGGAGAAAUAUUUCCUCUCUUUCUAUAUAUAGGAAGCCGGCCACACUUAGAGGAGUUGAGCUAGCAAUCUUCCUUCCUCUAGGCCAUCCAUAUUUUCUUCACACCUUUGGUGUGGAGACUUAGAAGGACCAAACCUUUGGUGCUUGGAGAUUCCUUUCUCAAAUCCUUAAGGAGCAAAGGAGAAGCAAAGAGGCAACCAUCCAAGGAGAGAAGAACACAAACACAAGAAAGCAUUCAAUGAGCUUGAAGUGAUCUUGAAGGCCUUCCACUUGGGUGAAUCCCUUGUGUAAUCAGGGAUGAGCUUCAAGGGGAAUAAAUUUUGAAUCUCUCUUCUCUUUAAUAUGUAAAGAGUCACAGUUCACCAUUCACUAGGCUUUGAAAGUCAUAGAUUAUAAAUUGUUUUUGUGUGCAUGCAUACUUUAAAAUGUUAUAUGUAUGCUUGUAUGUUCAAAUAUCCUUAAAUGUUAUUAGUUAGGACAAUUUUUCCUUCAGCCACUACCUCAUUAAAGUCUAAACAUCACAUAAAAAGUGAAACUUAAAUUUUAAAAUAUUCAUUAGUUCUCUCAGUUAAGUCAUGCCCCAGAUUGUAGCAAUUUUUAUUUGACUCUUAAAAGUACAAAACAAGCUAUCAUUAUUACUGUUACCUAUAAUUCUGGUAUAAAUAUGAAUAUAUUCCAAUAAUCUAGCAACAUGAAUAAAAUCCAAAAUUUUUAAAAUCUUAUCGACAAGAAAACAAAAAUCACACAGCAGCAAUAUCUCAUCAAACUAUGCUUUAUGUUAGUGAAUCAAUUGUCUUGGUUUGCAGCUUCACAAGUCGCCUUGUUAUGUAAUUAGAACAACCUAAAAGACAAAUGGACAAAAAAUGCAUUGAUAUCAUACUAAAAAUUUGAUACUUUUCGAUUUUCUGAGUAAAAAAUAAAAAGAAGUUCAAAUAGCCAAAAUAUUUCCACAAAUAAUACAAAAUUAUCAAUUAUAAACACAUGAAAAAUCACCAAAAUCUAAAAUCUUCAAACUGGACACUAUUUCCAUAACUGCCAAAACCACCAAAAUUAUCACUUAUAAACACAUCUAAAAUCACCAAAAUUUGAAGGGACCAAACUAGACCCGCUUUAAAAUGAAACGGGCCGGGACGGACCGGGUAAUGAAAUUUCUAAAAUUGGAACCGGCCAUAACCCGACCUGUUUGAAACAAGCAGUUCGAGCUGGGUCCAUGGGUCCAACAGAAGGGAACGACAUCAUUCAAGUCUGUGUUCCUCCAACGCGAAACCCAGAUUCCCAGCAACAUCAAGAAGUCGAAUCAUAAAACCACCAUGACUGAAAGGCACUGCAAACUUGAUGCUCUCAAGCUUUGACGAUCUUCACCACUUUGACGUGCAAGCUUACAUACUUUGUGAACGAGAGUCUUACUCAAUUCAGUGAUUGCAUCAAUAAAUAAAACAAAAGGUUAAUCAAAUGUAUUAGUUUUGUGCAGAAAACUGAAUAAUUUCCAAUCAUUCGUUAACAAUAUAAGAAAUCCCACGGAAACAAAAACCCUAGACAAAUUGAAAACUCUCAACUAUGAAGAAACAAAAACCCACCACCACUAAACAUGGGUUGGGCCUUGGAAGGUACUAGGUAAUUUAAGCUUGGCCUGGAUGAUCAUUUCGCUGAUGAAAUAGGAGGCCUCGCUUCUGAAUCUUUGCAUCUGAUGCCACGUGCCUUCUCUCUUCGAACUUCUUGCGGACCUCCGCUGUCGCGUAGUUUAGCAUCGUCACGUCUCCGGCGAACGACUUCCAUGCCGCUCGUAGGAAAGCUUUGUACAUGUUAGUACUUUUGCUCUCGCCAUCUCAGUCUCUCUACUUUGCCCCUCUCAGUCCCCUCUCAGUCCCCUCUCUCUUUUUGAUCUGGACCUAUACGCCAUCUUCGUGGGAGAGACUGAGCAUAUUACGGUCAGAAAUAAAGGGAUGUGAAGAAGUUUGGUGAUGUUCGAAUUAGGGGUGCGAGAGAAAUGAGAGACGUGAGGAAGUUUGCUGGACUUGCAGAGAGUGAGAGAGAAAUGAGAGACACAUGAACUUGAAGAAGGGGUGGGUUUCAGUUUGAAAUCGAAGAAGGGAAAAGACUCUAGAAGCCUGGGAAGGUUUCAUUUUGUAUAAUUAUUGUAGAAACAGGCCCAAUUUCAUUGUAUUAUCAUUAUAGGAAUGGGCUUAUCCAUUCAUUCAAAUAGGUGGGUUUCUAUUCCCCCAGCAGUGCAAUCCAUUGCAUUAUAGAAACGGGCCAGGUUAGGGUCCCGUGGGUCUGAAGAUUUGGACCCAUCCCGCCUCGUAUAUAUCACUACCCUGCCCUGCCUCGUUUGUUCUAAAAAAAAAUUGGACCCGCCCUGACCCACGGGUCCUCUACCUGUUUACCCACCCUUACUGAACACUGCCACUAUCUCUAGAUCCGAGCACUGUCACUGUCACUUUUUCUAAAACUGAUCAAUGUCACUGCCACUAUUUCUAUAGUUGAACAUUAUCGUUAUUUCUAGAACUACACACUAUCACUAUUUCUAGAAAUACACAAUGUCAAUACCACUAUUUAUAGAACUAAAUACUACCACUACUUCUAGAACUGAGCAUUGUCACUAUUUCUGGAAAUGAACUUUGCCAUAUUUCUAGAACUAAACACUGCCACUAUUCUAGAAUUGAACACUACUACUAUUUCUAUAAAUAACACUGCCACUAUUUCUAAACAAAACAGUCGCAUGGGAAAGCUCCACAUGAUUGUAACAUGGAGAAAAUGCUAGUGUAGACAUGGAAAUUUCGUUGCAUGCAAAUGAUGCAUCACAAAGCUCCACAUGUCAUAUAACUUAUCACAAAUGGACAAGUCAUCAACAUGUGGCAUAAAUUAAGCAAAAGAAGAUCAAAAGCAUUCCUAAAAUGCAGUAAUGGGGGACAAAUCUCCUUAAAAUCGGCAAGGGGCCCAAAUUGCUCCCAAAACCAGAAACAAAGCUAAAGUAUCUUCACAAAACAAGCAAGAAUUGAAGAUUGCUCACAAAAUAGGCAAGGGGCCCAAGUUCUCGAGUUUUAUAAAUACAUUCUGGUGCGAAAAUUAUCUUAACACACAAAUUAAACACUCUUGUUGUCAAUUGUAGUAAAGAAUGUAAGUAGGGAUCGUUCUAGGCCGGGGAUUAGGAGGGAUUGCUAAAACACUUGAAACUGACUUUAAAACGUAAAAUUAAGUUUAAAACACCAAACUAGACUCAAAAGAUGCAAUACAAACUAAAAAGACUCAAAACUAGUUUAAAAGACUCAAAACUGCUUAAAACAAUGAAUUAGACUCUAAACUAACUCUAGGGAUGGUUUUGGACGAAAUUAGGUUCUAACUUGACUCAAGACACUUAAAAACACAAAUCAAAAUAGAUUUUGACUAAUAAAACACUUUAAACUAAAGGGGGAUUUGAUUUGACGAAUUUGAAAACAAAACAAACAGAUUGUAAACUAAAACAGAUUUUGGACGAAUUUGGGUAAACUAUGGAUGAUGGGCUAGCUAAAGGAUUCUUCUCCACACAUGACAUACUUGCACAUAAACCAAUUUUCAGUUGUUCUUUCGAUCAAUCAUGAAACUCAACGCCCCAGGUUAAUUAAGUCCGCUUAAAUUAACCUUCAAGUUCUCCUUAAGUUAUUGAAUUGGAUGGGAAAGCGCAUACAAUUCAAGCAUUCUUCAAAAGUCCUUUACAUGAACAGCACAAUAAAGAUACAAUCAAGGAUCAUUAAGCAUUAUGAAAACUAUAAGUAUUGACGAGGCAUUCGUUGCUAUGAUGAGCAUGAAACUCCUGCCAAGAAUUCAUUUAACGCGAUCGUUUAUAAGUGACCUCCACUACUUGUGAAUAUAAGUUUGUAACUAUUAGGUGAAACUCCCUUAUACUCUAGCAUCAUAUUCAUGCAUGCAAACUAAGUGUGCACUCUUAAUAAACAUACACGAAUAAGUUAUCAAUUAAGUAGUUAAACAAAUUGAAUUAAUAACUUAUGAAAUCACAACUGAAGGUAAUCAAAUCAUAUUGCAAGCAGGAACAUGGUUUCGAAUUCCCCCCUAGCUAAGGGGGGUUUAGUUCCUCAUACUCACAAAGCAAAGAUAAACAAAUUUAGAUAUUGAAAACAAAAGAAUGAAAACACCUAAAAACGCUUCAACAAUCCAACUUGAAUGGCAAGCACGUCCAAGGGUCCUCCUUCUUCUCUUUGUUGCUGCACAAGGUGUGGUUUGAUGUUGCGGCACAAUGUGUCUUCCUCCCUUCUCCCUAAACUGUCCAUGUGAAUGUGUCUUUGGAUGGAUAUCUCCUCUCCUUUGUUAUGGUGAAGGGUGGAUGUAUUUAUAGGCUAGGGAGAGGACCACCAUCUAAUUAAGGUGGUAGUGGUGUAUGUUGUGGUAAUGAGUGGAUGUAAUGGGUGUAGUGGGUGAAUGUUUGGUAAUGAGUUGAUGUAAUGGGUGUAGUGGGUGAGUGUUUGGUAAUGAGUGGAUGUAAUGGGUGUAGUGGAUUGAUGUUUGGUAAUGAGUGGAUGUAAUGGGUGUAGUGGGUGAAUGUUGUGGUAAUGAGUGAAUGUAAUGGGUGUAGUGGGUGAGUGUUUGGUAAUGAGUGGAUGUAAUGGGUGUAGUGGAUGGAUGUUUGGUAAUGAGUGGAUGUAGUGGGUGUAGUGGAUGGAUGUUUGGUAAUGAGUGGAUGUAAUGGGUGUAGUGGAUGGAUGUUUGGUAAUGAGUGGAUGUAAUGGGUGUAGCGGAUGGAUGUUUGUAGUUGUAGGUCAACACACUUGCACACACACAUGCUGAUUUCUAGCCUUCAAAUCUUCAAAAACGUCCAUCUUCAUGUCUCCAUGCUUGCACUAUCCAAUCCUGGCCCAAAAAUGCUCCAAAAUGCUCCAAAUAGCACUUUGUUUCUAACUUUGUUAUUUGAACCUACAAACACACGAAAAUAGCUUAAAGUACUAAAAUAACUAGAAUUAAACUAAGUAAAUGCCAAGAAACAAGCUAACUAAGUUGCAUAAAUAUGCUCCUAUCAAAUUCCCCCACACUUAGCUUUUGCUAGUCCUCGAACAAAACAAAAGAAACAAAAUGAAACAAAACAAACAAAACACAACCUAACCUUCCAACAUUUGCCUCAGGGAUUUCCAAUGCACAUGACAUGUUAAAAAUCAUCAUUCCCACAGAUUUUGGUUAUCUUCACACUUGAGCACAAACUUAAUCACAGUCACUACUUACUAGUUCACAAUUAACCAAUUAAAAUAAUGUUUUGAAUGUAGUAACAUGCUUAGAGAAUUUGCUCAAUUCUUUACAAGAUACUCUCUAUUUUCACACACAUUUUCUGACUACACACCCUACACUAGAGACUGGGACUCACAUAUGUUAUAACAAAGGAAGCAAUUUUCUGGAGUUAUUAAGGAUGUUUAGAUAUGAUCUCAUGAAUGGUAUGCUACUACUUAGAUGCGAGAACCAGUGACACCAUAUGCUCAUACCAAUUUCUAACUCCACAAAUUGAAACCCACAACACUCAAGAUUAAAGUCAAGGGUUGUAACAUGGCUUGGGGGUAAUGGCUAACAAAGAAAGGAUAGGAAUAACAAACGUUCUUAAAGCGAUAGCAAGCAAAGCAAUUAAAUAGACACUUGGAAUUCACUUUAGAAUGCAGAAUCAACUUUUACAUACAAAGGGAAGAUUCAUGCAACACUUAGGGCCGAAUUCAAUGUUUUGGACAUUUUUUUAACAAACAACACUUUAGAGCUCUUUUUCAUACUUUUUUUUUCUCUACCUGUGCCUUAUUAAGGACUUUGGUACACACACACACAAGAAUCACUUCCCCCACACUUGCUUUCUGCAAUACAUUGAUCAAAAAGGGGUUCAUUUUAGGUCAUGCUUUACUAUGCUUCAAGAACAAAGGUAUGGAUGAUCCUAAAACUAGGCUAGGUAAGGAUAGUGUGGGUUAACAAAGAACAUAGGCUUAACAAGGCUCAACGGGGUUAAACUUAAACACAUAAUGAAAUAAGGGCACGGCAAUUUGGCUUUGGUGGUCACUACGCAACUUCAUCUUGAAUAUGUGUUAUGCAAAUCAAUAGCAUGCUUUGAAUGAAAUAGGCAUGAGUUCUAGCAUUUGGAACUAAAUGAUGAAACGCCUUCUAAGUAGCAACCAAGCAAAGAAUAAUGAGAUCAUGCAACGACUUUAGAAAACAAUGAUGCACAUAUUAUUAACUCUCCAAAUAAACGUUUAGGCUCAAGUCUCACAAGGUUGUAGUGUUCAUUUGAGUUCCUUCCUUCAAGCAUGUUACAAAAACUGAUUUUUCCUUUAUGAUUGCAUGUGAAUUCAUAAAUUAUAACCACAACCAAGCAUACACCAAAGAGUAAAUCAAAUUUUCAUCCAUGUUUAUAACUCUCUUUAACAGUCAUGUAAUUAAAAACCAAAUCCUCAUCAUUGUGUUGGAAGGUACCCUAAGACACAAAUAAACACACAAAAACAACUCUUUUUGGGUUUUUCAAAACAAUUUUUUUUUUCAAAUUUUUAUGAGAUUUUUGGAUUUUUAUGUCAAAACACACUAAAACACUCCAAAACAGCUUAAAAACACUUAAAACAGCAAGGAACAACACUAGAAGUAAUGGGUGAUAAACUCCUACGAAUUUCAUGCAAAACAACUUGGUUACCCCCCCUCCCCCACACUUAAAUCAAACAUUGUCCUCAAUGUUUCAAGCAUAAACUCACACAAAAACAAGCAAACAAACAAACAACAAAUAAACAUGACAAGUAUGGUAAAGUAAAAACUAGACAGAGUAGAGUUUAAGAACGCAAAUCUGGUUUUGGAGAUAGAUGAUCUUGGCGACUUUCCACAGCUUUGAUCUAGAACUGGUUUGGAAUUAUGAGCGAGGAAUAUCAGAGUUCCUUGGUUUCAAAUCAGACUCCUUUUGCUGGGUUGAUUUGAUUGUAUAGUCUGCAUUAUUCUCUGCUUGUUCUUCUGCAUUGUGCAGUCUGCAUUCUUCUCUGCUUGUUUCUUCUGCACGGCAUGCAGGCACGAGGUAGAGGUGAUGGUCUGUUUCUUUCUUCAAUCUUUCUAAGUGCCCACCAUUUGCUUUCUUUCUCCUUGUCCCUAGCUGAGGAUGAAUUAGCACAUUGUCUCCACAUGCUUCGAGGUAUCAUUUUCACUUCCCUUAUCUGUUCCCCAGGCAGAUGUGGUAGACGAAGAGGAAGCAUAAGAUGUUGAAGAUGAGUACUCGAGAGCAAGGCUAGGUUAGCAAUCAGGAAGGAGUUCCAGGCAGUCGGUUCCAGAUCGGAAGAUUGAUACCAAGUGUUGGCUGAUUGCUUUCUUUCUCCUUAUCCCGCAGAUAAAAAUAACGACAAGGAGAAGGACAGGGAGAAAGCAUGAUAUGAGAUACUCUUGCUUUCAACCUUCAUGAUAUGAAAUACUUUUGCUUUGGAUGAGUUGUUUGCAGAGGUACCCCAAGGAAUAAGGAACACUGAGUGACUCGAGAGGCUUCGUUGGGAAGGCAUUCUCGGAGAUGAAGAAAGGUUAUGUAUGUCUGCCUUGCAAUGAAGGGUGAAGGUUGACAUUUAUAGGAAUUAAUAACCAGUACUAUUCUUUCACUCUUGUCGGCAACCGUUGGAUGAUUUAACAAUAAACUUCACGUGUCUUCUACUUCACAAGAAAUCUUAGACAGAUUGCCCGUAAUUUCCGCAAGGCUGAGUGUGCAUAUGACAGGUGCUGACACGUCUAGAAAAGCAGAUGCCUCUUCGAUAUCUGGAAUCGGCGCUUCGACAAACUGCCUGUGAUUUCUGUAAAGCUGAGUGUGCAUGUGACAGGCGCUGACACGUCUAGAAAAGCAAGUGCCUUUUCGAUAUCUGGAAUCAGCGCUUCGACAAACUGCUUGUGAUUUCCACAAAGCUGAGUGUGCAUGUGACAGAUGUUGACACGUUGGAAAAGCAGAUGCCUUUCCGAUUUCUAAGCUUGCCUCUUCGAGUUCUGAGCUCGCCUCUUCAAGUUCUAAGCUCUGUCGAAUACAGAGGUUGCAUGUGACAAGUGCGGACAAAUCUGGAAAAGAAGAUUGGCCCAUGGUUUCUGAGCAAGCCCAGCUUUUGAGAAAGCUAGCGCCUCUUCGAUUUUUGAAUUGACCUUCGAUUUCUAAGCUCGCCUCUUCGAUCUCUGAAAUCCCGUCGAGUGCUGGUUUUUAUAGAGGCGCGCAAUACGUUUCAAAUCACACUUGAAUUUUUGCUUAUAGAAACUCCAUUCUUGCACUUCUACGAUCUUGACUUGUCCGACCUCUUCUUUCUUCAACACCUUUGAAAAUGUCCGGCCCUUCCGACCGUCGUUUUUACUUAAACCUUGGUGAAGAGGCAGCCAUGCUUUCUCCAAACAAUAUAUGGCGCCCAUCCUUCAUAUCCCCUACUGGUCCUCUUACCGUUGGGGAUUCGGUGAUGAAGAAUGAUAUGACUGCUGCGGUGAUGGCCCGGAACAUUGUCACUCCCAAAGAUAACAGAUUACUUUCCAAACGGUCUGAUGAGUUGGCUGUUAAUAUGGCCCAACGCCUAUUUGCUCGAACCCGUCAAGUUGAAUCGUUGGCGGCUGAAGUGAUGAGUCUCAAACAGGAGAUUAGAGGGCUCAAGCAUGAGAAUAAACAGUUGCACAAGCUCGCACAUAACUAUGCUACAAACAUGAAGAGGAAGAUUGACCAGAUGCAGAAAUCUGAUGGUCAGAUUUUACUUGAUCAUUAGAGGUUUGUGGGUUUGUUCCAACAGCAUUUGCCUUCGUCUUCUAGGGCUGUACCGCGUAAUAAAGCUCCAAAUGAUCAACCUCUGAUGCCUCCUCCUUCUGGGCUCCACCGACUGCUGAGGCUCUGCCGACUACUGAGACUUCUCCUAAGCAGCCUUUGUGAAGGCUUCCUCUUGUAUUUUUUGCUUAAUGUUCUUUUUUUUUCAUGAAAAUGAAUGUAAAAAUACCUUGCAUAACUGUCAAUGUCUAAAAAAUAAACCCACACCAAAAAAUAAUUAAAUAAGCAACAAAUAAAAAUGAUCAUCAUGGCAAAAUAAAAUGCAGAAAAGGGAAGGUUUUUAGAAACGCAAAACUGAUUGUGGAGCGAUUCAAAAAUCUUCCUCAUUUGAAUACAUGGGUUGCCUCCCAAGAAGCGCUUGUUUUAACGUCUUCCAGUCGGACAAAACUUCCUUCUAAACUUGGAUAGGGCCCAUAGCAUGGAAUUGAUCCUUGAAUGGAAGGUGAUACUUGACGUGAUCCGGCAAUGGUUUAAAUUCUAGUGUAGGUGCCUGAAUCAUCAAAAUCAGCAAGUUAGUAUAUAAUAAAAUCGAAGUUGGAGAAGAUGGCUUACUUGUUUGCUCCAACACAAACUCAAUUACGAACACCACAUCUUUGAAGGUUGUAGGGAUAUGGGACUUGGCCAGAUUUGGUGUUUUGAGAGUUAUGACUUUUCCCAUGUCAUAAAAUCCAACUUCUUUGGGAAUUUUCGUCUCAAGUGUAUCUUCUUUGAUGAAUUCUAGACAUUCCCCAUCCACUUCUUGCUCUUGAUUCUUUGGAAAGGUUUCGAAUAUGCCUUUCUCACACCUUCUUCUUCCUUGGAUUGCAUGAUCCUACAAGGAAUAAGGACAUUUGGUGAAACGGGGGUUAGGAAAAAUUUGAAUUUAGGCUUACCUUGGUUGUAGUGGAUGGCAUAAGAGGGCAUAUGGGGCUGCGGCAAGGGUGGUUCUUCCCUUGCCAUGGCCUUGUUAUUCUCCUCUUCUUCAAGCAGCAGUUGUUCAUCCAUGUUUUGGCUUGGUUUGGAUGUCUUGGGUUCACCUCCAACCUCCAUAGCACUUCCCAAAGUGAUAGCAUCAUGAAUUUCAAAAUCUUCCUUCAAAUUUUCAAUAGUUGAGUUAAAGAGUUCACUUUUCUCUUGAAUUUGUGCCAUGAACUCCAUAAUCUGCCCAAUUUGCAUAUACAAUUCACCCAUCUUCUUGGCUUGAUUUUGCAUCUCUUUGUUUCGAUUUUCUACUUCCUGGUUCAAAGAGGUGAGUAACUUAUUAAACAUAUCAUUAUCCAAAGAUGUACCUGAAUUGAAUUGGGCAGAUUGUUGUGGUGGCUAUGAUGGUUCAUAUGGCCAGUGAUAGAACUCAUCCGAUGGCAGCAAAUAUUCUUCUUGUUGUGAGCCCUGCGUCAAAGAGGUUAGUACUUCAAGAAUUUCAUCAGAACUCAUAGGCACACUUGAAUUUGAUUGGAAUUGUUGUGGAUGAGGUUGUAGUGGCUGCAUAGGUCUUGAAUAGAACUCCUCUUCUUACUGCCAAUAUCCAUCUUGUUGCAAUUGUUGAGGUUCUCCCCACAUGUAAUCUGAAUAAACUCUCCAAUCCGAAUUGUAAGCGUUGGAACAAAUGUUGUCCCAUGAUUGGCUAUGGCCUUGAUAACCCCAAGCAUCUUCAUUCACAAACGAAUUGAGAACAUUGAUGAGUUGGAUAUCCUUGCCCAUAGGACACACCAUAUGUAGGGACACUUUGCAUUAUGGUCCUUUCGGCAUAUUGUGACAAUUGAGAAGUAAGUUUCGCCAAUUGAGCUUGAAUGGUAGCAAAAUCCAUGUCUUACUUCUCUAGUACCUGAAAUCAAGGAAACAAAACUAAAUCAAAUAUCAAAAGUAAAACAAACCAAAAGAAAAAACACAAAUAGAAACAAAGUUAGUAACUAAAAACAAAAGACAUGAAAAUAUACAAAAAGAAAUAACAAGGGAUUAGCAAAGUUGCUAAUCACUGGCAACGACGCCAAAAAUUUGGUGCGAAAAUUAUCUUAACACACAAAUUAAACCCUCUUGUUGUCAAUUGUAAUAAAGAAUGUAAGUAGGGAUCGUUCUAGGCCGGGUAUUAGGAAGGAUUGCUAAAACACUUGAAACUGACUUUAAAAUGUAAAAUUAAGUUUAAAACACCAAACUAGACUCAAAGAUGCAAUACAAACUAAAAAGACUCAAAACUAGUUUAAAAUACUCAAAACUGCUUAAAACAAUGAAUUAGACUCUAAACUGACUCUAGGGAUGGUUUUGGAUGAAAUUAGGUUCUAACUUGACUCAAGACACUUAAAAACACAAAUCAAAACAGAUUUUGACUAAUAAAACACUUUAAGAUGAAUUUGAAAACAAAACAAACAGAUUGUAAACUAAAACAGAUUUUGGACGAAUUUGGGUAAACUAUGGAUGAUGGGCUACCUAGAGGGUUCUUCUCCACACAUGACAUACUUGCACAUAAACCAAUUUUCAGUUGUUCUUUCGAUCAAUCAUGAAACUCAACACCCCAGGUUAAUUAAGUCCGCUUAAAUUAACCUUCAAGUUCUCCUUAAGUUAUUGAAUUGGAUGGGAAAGCGCAUACAACAAUUCAAGCAUUCUUCAAAAGUCCUUUACGUGAACAGCACAAUAAAGAUACAAUCAAAGAUCAUUAAGCAUUAUGAAAACUAUAAAUAUUGACGAGGCAUUUGUUACUAUGAUGAGCAUGAAACUCCUGCCAAGAAUUCAUUUAACGCGAUCGUUUAUAAGUGACCUCCACUACUUGUGAAUAUAAGUUUGUAACUAUUAGGUGAAACUCCCUUAUACUCUAGCAUCAUAUUCAUGCAUGCAAGCUAAGUGUGCACUCUUAAUAAAUAUACACGAAUAAAUUAUCAAUCAAGUAGUUAAACAAAUUGAAUUCACAACUUAGGAAAUCACAACUGAAGGUAAUCAAAUCAUAUUGCAAGCAUGAACAUGGUUUCGAAUUCCCCUCUAGGUAAGGGGGGUUUAGUUCCUCAUACUCACAAAACAAAGAUAAACAAAUUUAGACAUUGAAAACAAAAGAAUGAAAACACCUAAAAAUGCUCCAACAAUCCAACUUGAAUGGCAAGCACGUCCAAGGGUCCUCAUUCUUCUCUUUGUUGUGGCACAAGGUGUGGUUUGAUGGAUGCGUAUGGAUAUAUGGAAGGGAAUGGCUGAAUAUGUUAAGAAGAAAAAACUCUGCCUUGCAGCAGAAUGUGUCUUCCUCCUUUCUCCCUAAACUGUCCGUGUGAAUGUGUCUUUGGAUGGAUCUCUCCUCUCCUUUGUUAUGGUGAAGGGUGGAUGUAUUUAUAGGCUAGGGAGAGGACCACCAUCUAAUUAAGGUGGUAGUGGUGUAUGUUGUGGUAAUGAGUGGAUGUAAUGGGUGUAGUGGGUGAAUGUUUAGUAAUGAGUGGAUGUAAUGGGUGUAGUGGGUGAGUGUUUGGUAAUGAGUGGAUGUAAUGGGUGUAGUGGAUGGAUGUUUGGUAAUGAGUGAAUGUAAUGGGUGUAGUGGUGAGUGUUGUGGUAAUGAGUGGAUGUAAUGGGUGUAGUGGGUGAGUGCUUGGUAAUGAGUGGAUGUGGGUGAGUGUUUGGUAAUGAGUGGAUGUAAUAGGUGUAGUGGAUGGAUGUUUGGUAAUGAGUGGAUGUAAUGGGUGUAGUGGGUGAGUGUUUGGUAAUGAGUGGAUGUAAUGGGUGUAAUGGAUGGAUGUUUGGUAAUGAGUGGAUGUAGUGGGUGUAGUGGAUGGAUGAUUGGUAAUGAGUGGAUGUAAUGGGUGUAGUGGAUGGAUGUUUGUAGUUGUAGGUCAACACACUUGCACACACACAUUCUGAUUUCUAGCCUUCAAAUCUUCAAAAACAUCCAUCCUUAUGUCUCCAUGCUUGCACUAUCCAAUCUUAGCCCAAAAAUGCUCCAAAAUGCUCCAAAUAGCACUUUGUUGCUAACUUUGUUAUUUGAACCUACAAACACACGAAAAUAGCUUAAAGUACUAAAAUAACUAGAAUUAAACUAAGUAAAUGCCAAGAAACAAGCUAACUAAGUUGCAUAAAUAUGCUCCUAUCACAUUCCAAUUGAUAGCCAUGUCAAAUAAUCUCAAUUUGUCAGGCCUUUUGGACAAGUUCACAAAAAAUAGAUUUACUAAAAUAAUAUCCUACUUUUUUAGCUUAUAACAAAUAAUGUUGAUCUAUUAAGUUAAUUUAGGAUGAGAAAAAGAAGAAAACAAGAAUUGAAUCCAAGCAUUACCAUUAUUGAAAUCAUGAAGAAAAUAGAAGCUACUGCAACGAAUGCUAGUCUUUGUUGGAAGUAUGCCCACAAAGCCACUCAUUUGAUGUAAUAGCUUUUGGAAUACUUAUUGUAUUAAACUUUUAUAUGUUUAAUGAAGGGCAAAGCUUAUUGUUAAUCACUAUUUAUUGUAUCAUAUGUUUAAGCAAUAAGGGAAUCCAAGGAAUGUAUUUGAUCUAAGAGAUAAGUGAUUUAAGUGAGUUAGAUUAACGAGACCUUUCUCUUAUGUUCAUUCCUAAAACGUUCCUAGCCAUAGGAUUGCCAAUUGGGCAUUGACAAUCCGCUAAGGUUAGUAUGUGUUAUGUUGACUCAAGCGUGAGUAUGACUAGUCUCAAGUCAUUUGGUGUUGGACACUAAGACAAACACAUAGGUGCUCGAAAAGAGUAAUCGAGUACACUGAACAACGAUCAAAAGAGAGUUCGAACAUACAUGUCAUGUAAGAACUCUAAAGUUGCAAUAUGCAAAGUAGUCCUUUGACCUGAGGCAUCAUAGAUGUCUAAUGGUUAGGUCCUUGAUCUUUGAUCAUGUCAAACGGCAUUCCAUUGGAGUGUCCACGGCAUUGUUGGGGUCAAGCUAUCUAGUCAUGUAGGCAUAUGAAUGCACAACAAGGGAUCUCUAACCUUCCAUGGUGGAAGGAGAAUACUCUAAGAUAUGAUUCUAAAGUCUUUGGCCAAAGCAUAUGAAUAUGACUUAGGAAGUUUGUUCCAAAUCAUAUUCAAGGGAAUCAUAUAGAGAAGUAUCACAUUGGAUAGUAGACAUGAAACAAACUAUCACUUCAAACAAUGUGAUUAAGAGUAUUGUAUUAGAGAAGGACCGUAUUGCAUUGUAGUUGUAACUGGAUAGGUUCUCCAACCAAUUCUACUUAGCUUGGGUAACCAUGAUAUGCUGCUAGGUGUCACUCAUGGUUUGUGGAAGCCCUGAAGAUUAGCAAACACUAAUCAAAGGGAGAAUUGAAAUGUGGUUUCAAUUCACAAUCGAUCGUUAAGAGUAACAAUCGCCCACUGCCUCGCUAAUUGGAACCUAAUGGAUCGUACACCGAGUAAGGAUGAUAGUGAAGAAAAUUAAAUGAAAUGGAUAAGCAAUUAAAUGGUUUAAUUGAAGAAUGGUCAAGAUUAAUUAAUUAGUUAAUUAAUUUUACGAAAGGUUCGUAUUGGGCUUAUAAGUUGGUUUUGGGUUUCGGGGCCCAAAAGCGUUUUGGUCCACAAGGCCCAUUAUGUUUAAGUUGUAUGACAACUAAAACAAAAUGGGCAAAUUAGCCCAAUAACAAAGGUAAGGCCGGCCAUUAGGGUGAUGGGCAAACUUGGAUUAAUUACAAGUUUGCCACUCACUUGAAAUGAAGUAUAAAAUCAACUUUAUAGCUUUAUUUCUCAUUAGGGUUUUUCUUGGUGAAAUUGAGGUGAAACAUUUUCUCUCAUUUUCUCUAAAGAGGCCGGCCACUUAGAGGGGAAUUAGCUAGCAAUCUUUUCUCUUCUCUAAGUCAUCCAUUUCAUCUUCACAAUAUACAUCCUUGGUGUGGAGACUUAGAGACAUCAAGCUUUUGGUGUUUUUGGAGAACAAAUCCUUCAAAUCCUCAAAAUCAAAGGAGCACUAAAAGGAGGAAAAUCACAAGGAAGGAUUCCAAGGAGCUUGGAGGUGACUUGAAGGCCCUCCACUUGGGUGAAUCCCUUGUGUAAACAAGGAUGAGCUUCAAGGGUAAAGAAACUCUAAAUCUUUACUUCUCUUUAAUGUUGUUAAAGAGUUUUUUUGGUUCACCAUAUACUAGGCUUUGAAAGUCAUGGGUUUUUAUGAAUUGUUUUUUGGAAUGCAUGCCUACUUUAAAGUGUUAAUAGUUUGCAUAUGUAUUCAAAUGUUCUUACUUGUUCUUAGCUAGGACAAAAUUUUUCCUUCAAGUGGUAUCAGAGCCUAGGCCUAGUUUAUGGUGAAUCCUUUUGGGUUUUGUGAUUUUCAUGAUUUGUGAUUUAAAUGUUGUAAAUGUUACAAGCUUUGUUCUUGCUUUUGAAUAUAUAAAUUUUGCUAGAAAAUUUAGCAUCUCAAAUGUUGUAGAUGUAUUUCAUUUAAGCAUGAAUAUUGGAACUAAAAUUUGGUGCCAUGUAUUUUGGGAAAUUCGGCCAAAUCCUUAGGGUGAUUUUUUGGGUUCAUGUUUGUCUUGUUAAAAUGGUUUUAAGGUGACUUUUGGAACCCCUAAGUACCCUAGGAUAUUAGCCCUCUUUUGAGUGGUGAAAAAUUUGAGUUUUUGGUGAAGUGAAAACAUUCAUGGAGCUAUUAUGAGUUUUCAUGGUGUUCUUCAAUGUUCUUGAAGUUCUUGCCAAGAACAAAAAAGGUUUGAAGUUUUGAUUCAAAAGUUUUAUGUUUUUCAUAAAGUUUUGGUUUAAUUUUGAUGGGUGAUGGUUAUUGGUGAAGCAUUAAUUAAUGGCUUUAAUGUUUGACAAAUACUCUUUAAUGUUUUACAAAACAUUUUCUUACAAACCAUCAAUUUCACCUUUUACCUCACCAAUAAAAUCAACUUGCAUAAAACCCUUUCACACUCCUUUCACACUCUAAAACCGGCCACCCCCUAGUGGGGGUACUUUUGGGGCCUUUUAUGCAAUUACAUAAAGUUUUGAUACUUUUGUGUAUUUGCACUUUGGCCCAAAAGUUUACGUUUUUACGUUAAGGCCCAAAAACUCUAAAGGACGAAUUGUUUUGAUCCUUUAAUGAUGUUUUUACAUUAUUAAAAUUUUGGGUUCUAGUUGAAAUUACAUGAAGUUGUGGACUUUUGUGUUUUUUUUUCAAAGUGACCCCAAAAGUUUUUUGUAUUUGCAUUAUGGCCCAAUUGUUGUGGUCAUAGUUUCCUUUUGGCCCAAAUAAAAUGAGAACAAAAUUGUUUUGUCUCUUUAAUGAGAAUUGGAUUUUCAUUUCAUUUAGUUCCAUUUAAAUCAAUUCUAUGGAUCCAAAAACCAAUUGUUUAAGUUGCUUUCUUAGUUAAUGUGAUUAAUUAAGAAAAGGGUGAUUAUGAACCAAAGGCCUCGAUAAUUGAGCUAUGUGAUUGGCCGCUUUACAUUAUGAAUGUUUGGGUUUGGUAGUGUAGAUUUGAAUGUAAUUUGAUUAAUUCAAUUUGUUGUAAAUGGACAUAAGUCCAUCAUUUGUGUUGUAAAAGGGCAUAAGCCCUUCUUAUUAUUUCAUGUAUUCCUUUUUGUUUAUAUGUAUGCAAAAUGGAAUAGUUGGGUCCAACGCCCAAUAGGAAAUAACGGUUUAAUUGGAUUAAACGCGUAACUAAAAUCAACAACUAUCUACCUUAAACCCAAGGUCCAACACAAGGCUCGUGUUGGAUCAAAUCAAACGGUUCAUAAUCAUCCUAAAACCUAAUAUGACUAUAUAGUCCAUAUGAGGAUGCAAUGCAUUCGUUAGUAGUUCCAUAUAGUCUCGCUUGUUUCAACGAAACAGUGGGAGUAUUAUAUGCUACUAAUUCAUAUUAACUUGGACCAAUGGUUGUGAUAGGCCCAAGUUCUUUUAAUAAUGAUUAAAAUGAUUUUGAUGUAGCCCAAAACUACUCCCUCGACAAAACGAAUAUUAAGUUGAUAAGCGAGAGAUGUUUUGAACAUCUCUUCGUAGGCCUUCCACCGUGGUGGGCUCCAAUCGUUUGUGACUCAUGCACCGGCUUCACCCUAUCAUGGGGGAGUUCAAAGUAUGUGCUUACAUCCAGGAGGAGUCCAUAAACAUAUGAUGAGGUGAGUGUAGGCAACGAGGAUAGCCGACAUCGUAUCAUCGUGAGGCUAUUCUUGAACCCCUUCACAAACUAAGCAUGGUGGGAAUAACUUAAACUAAGUGCAAUGGAGCCGACAUCGUAUCAUCGUGAGGCAACAUUCUCUAGAGGCCAAACGGAUGGGUAAUUACAAAAGGUUGUAAAUGAAUAAUGCGUUAUUCUCUCAUCAUUAUUUUUGCUAACCAACAUCGUAUCAUCGUGAGGUGGGCUUGGUAAUGGUGAGUCUCCCAUACCCCGCUAAGAGUUCAAUAUAACUCUCGAAUUCUAUUGAGGGAUGUGGAAUUUGCCAAAAAUAGUGGGUGGUACUAUUUGAUUCAAAGACCCAAUCAAAUAGUUUUAAACAAACAAUCUAAUACGAUUUCUGUUAUGUUAUGUAGUUAACGACAUGCCUAAAAUUAUACCCACCAUUAUACUUGACAAAAAGGGCCUUAAGGGCCAACGUUUCCUUGCUUGGUAUCGCCACAUUGAGAAUGUCUCAAAGGUGAAAGACAUAUUGUAUGUGCUUAAGCAAUCCCCUCCUCAUGUACCUCCUACGAAACUAGCUUCAAAGGAGGAGUGUCAAAAAUAUGUUAGACACUAUGAGGAUGACUUACAAGCCAAAUGCUUAAUCCUCACUUCACUUAGUGAGGAGCUUAUGAAGCUACAUAAGCACAUGGACACUUCUUGUGCCAUGGUUGAAAGUUUGCAUAAGAUGCAUGACAUUGAGACUAGUAAUGUACGAUUCUCAAAUGUUUGUAGUCUAAUGAAUGCCAAAAUGGCAAAGGGGACAUCGGUCCAUAAACAUGGACAAAAGAUGGAAAAGAUAUUUUAAAGAUCUUAAAAGUUUAGGAACUUCCAUCGAUGGGAAAAUGGCCCAAGACUUUUUUCCUUGCAUCUCUCUCGGAUGAUUUCACUAAGUUUAUUGUAAACUAUAAAGUGAAUAGAUUCGAUCAUGCUUUGAAACGAGAUGAUUGACAUGUGCUGUAAAUUUGAAAAAGGUUUCAAAAGGGACAGUGGGAGUGAGAAUGCAAUCACAAGGAAAAGGUUGCAUAAGAAGAAGGCAAAGAAAUCCAAAGGAACAUGCUUUCAUUGUGGAAAGGAUGAACGUUGGAAGAAGAAAUACAGGGUGCGCAUUGCGAGCCUUAUGACACGAACUUUUGAAGAGACUAUUUCUGUCAUAGAGAGUGCUUUUACAGUGAGCUCCAAUUCCUGGAUAUUUGAUUCAGGCGCUAGUCAACAUAUCUGUAAUACGAUGCAGGGACUAGCGGGGAGCAAGUCACUGCGCAAUGGGGAGAUGGUUGUGCGAGUUGGGAACGGCACUAAAAUCUCUGCAAAAGCAAUAGGCACCUACAUGCUUAACCUACCCUCUGGGGAAGUCCUGGAACUUAAAAAUUGUUUAUAUUUUCCUUCAUGUAUAAAGAAUUUGAUUUCCAUCUCUAAGCUUUUACGAGAUGGGCACUCAGUAUUGUUUGACAAAAUGAGUUGCACUUUAUACUUGAACGGUCGUAUUAUCUCUCAUGGUAAUAUGAUAGAGGGACUUUUUCACCUAGAGACGAAUAGUGGGAUGCACUGUAUUGCAAGCGGGAAUACCUCAAAACCCAAAAGGGCUAGAGAAGAAGUUAACCAAGAAAAGAUGUGGCAUCUUAAACUUGGACAUGUGAACCUUGAUAAGAUUCACAAGAUGUCGAAAGACGGAUAUAUCCGCCCAUUAGGUAAUGACCAGAUGGGUACUUGUGAAUGUUGCUUGAAAGGGAAGAUGACCAAAUCUCCAUUUACUGGAAAAGGAGAGCGUGCCACUGAAAUUCUAGGGUUAAUCCACACUGACGUAUGUGGACCUAUGUCUACUAUGUCGAGAGGAGGCUUCUCCUACUAUAUAUCACAUUCACCGACGACGAUCACUCUCGGUUUGGCUAUGUGUAUCUUAUGAAGUACAAGUCAGAAUCCUUUGAAAGGUUCAAAGGAAUUCAAGAAUGAAGUUGAGAAGCAAACUGGGAAACAAAUAAAGAUCCUAAGAUUGGAUCGAGGGGGUGAAUAUCUGAGUAAUGAGUUCCUAGAUUAUCUCAAAGAGUGUGGAAUAAUAUCACAGUGGACUCCACCAGGAACUCCACAACUUAAUGGAGUUUCUGAAAGGAGAAAUCGAACCUUGAUGAACAUGGUUCGUUCUAUGAUGAGUUCCGCUGAUCUACCAGUAACAUUCUGGGGAUACGCUCUAUAUAUACAGCAGCUUACUUGCUUAAUAGAGUACCUUCCAAGUCAGUUUCACAAACGCCCUAUGAGAUAUGGCAUGGAAGAAAGCCAAGUCUUAAUCAUGUUAAGAUUUGGGGUUGUGAAGCAUAUGUCAAGAAGAAGCUUGAAGCUACUAAGCUUGAAGCGAGAUCAGUAAGAUGCUAUUUUGUGGGAUAUCCUAGAGAAACUAUGGGAUAUGAGUUCUACCAUCCUGACGACCAGAAAGUCUUUGUCGCCAGAACUGCUAAGUUUCUAGAGAACGAAUUUGUUCUCAAAGGAACUAUAAGCAAAGAGAUGGAAAUUAAUGAGAUUAAUAAUGAACCACAAACAAGCACUCGACAAGUUGACAACCCUGUUCCUGAACCCCUAGCUCCACGUAGAUCUGAACGGGUUAGUAAGCCACCUAAGAGGUAUGGCUUAGACAAUGACUUUGCGGAAUUGCACCUUCUAGGUGACAAUGACACGAAGGAGGACCCUAGGGACUACACUGAAGCAAUGUCCGACAUUGAUUCAAAGAGAUGGCAAGAGGCCAUGAAAUCCGAGAUGGAUUCCAUGUAUCAAAAUCAGGUCUGGACUCUUGUAGACCCUCCAGAAGGUAUUGUACCUGUUGGAAACAAAUGGGUCUUCAAGAGGAAGAUAGGCGUUGAUGGGAACGUGGAGACUUAUAAGGCUAGACUCGUAACCAAGGGUUACAGGCAAAGAGAAGGGAUUGACUAUGAAGAAACCUUUUCUCCUGUAGCCAUGAUUAAGUCCAUUCGGAUUUUGCUUGCUAUAGCUGCGUACCAUGAUUAUGAGAUAUGGCAAAUGGACGUGAAGACGGCCUUUCUGAACGGCUACCUAGAGGAAGAGCUCUAUAUGACUCAACCCGAAGGUUUCGUGUCCAAAUCUGAAAAGACUAAGGUAUGCAAGCUUCAAAGGUCCAUUUAUGGACUUAAGCAAGCCUCCAGGAGCUGGAACAUUCGUUUCGACACUGAAAUCAAAACGUUUGGUUUUACUCAAAACGAAGACGACAAUUGUGUUUAUGAAAAGGUCGUUGGGGAUGCAGUUGUAUUCCUAGUGUUAUAUGUAGAUGACAUAUUACUAUUCGGGAAUGACACUGCAGUACUUUCUUCUGUAAAAGUGUGGUUGUCCAAAACCUUCCACAUGAAAGAUUUAGGAGAUGCAUCUUAUGUACUUGGGAUAAAGCUCUAUCGUGAUAGAUCCAGAAGACUAAUUGGAUUAUCCCAAUCUAUGUACAUUGAUAAGGUGCUAAGUAGGUUCCAGAUGGAACAAUCUAAGAAAGGUUUUCUUCCUGUUAGACAUGGAAUUCACCUUUCUAAGUCCAUGGGACCUAAGACUCCUGAAGAGAUACGGCAAAUGAAUACUAUUCCUUAUGCUUCCGCCAUAGGAAGUCUCAUGUAUGCCAUGAUAUGCACAAGGCCUGAUAUCGCAUAUGCUGUGAGCAUUACUAGUCGAUAUCAAUCUAACCCAGGAUCAGAACACUGGGCAGCUGUCAAGACGGUCCUUAAGUACUUAAGAAGAACUAAGGACAUGUUCCUCGUUUAUGGAGGAGCGACAGAGUUGCGAGUGGAAGCCUAUAUAGACGCAGAUUUCCAAUCUGACGUCGAUGAUAGAAGUUCCAACUCCGGAUAUGUAUUCACUCUGAAUAGUGGGGCUGUUAGCUGGAAAAGCAAGAAACAAGGUGUAAUUGCUGAUUCCACGACGGAGGCAGAAUAUGUCGCUGCAGCUGAAGCCGGCAAAGCAGCGUUCUGGAUGAAGAAGUUCAUCACUGAACUUGGAGUGGUUCCAACCAUUACAUCACCAGUAACUUUGUAUUGUGAUAAUAGUGUGGCGAUAGCUCAAGUAAGGCACCCAGGGCUCAUCAAAAGAACAAGCAUUUUGACAGGCGCUUUAAUAUCAUUAGAAGAUAUGUUGCCGAGGGGAAAGUCAACAUCCUCAAAGUUGCCUCAACCGAUAACGUAGCAGAUCCACUGACGAAUCCAAUGUGUCAAAUCCAACUUGACCGCCAUAUGGAAAAGAUGGGUAUUAGAUACAUGGGAGGAUGGCUUUGAGUGCAAGUGGGAGAUUGUUGGAAGUAUGCCCACAAAGCCACUCAUUUGAUGUAAUAGCUUUUGGAAUACUUCUUGUAUUAAACUUUUAUAUGUUUAAUGAAGGGCAAAGCUUAUUGUUAAUCACUAUUUAUUGUAUCAUGUGUUUAAGCAAUAAGGGAAUCCAAGGAAUCUAUUUGAUCUAAGAGAUAAGUGAUUUAAGUGAGUUAGAUUAACGAGACCUUUCUCUUAUGUUCAUUCCUAAAACGUUCCUAGCCAUAGGAUUGCCAAUUGGCAUUGACAAUCCGCUAAGGUUAGUAUGUGUUAUGUUGACUCAAGCGCGAGUAUGACAAGUCUCAAGUCAUUUAGUGUUGGACACUAAGACAAACACAUAGGUGCUCGAAAGAGUAAUCGAGUACACUGAACAACGAUCAAAAGAGAGUUCAAACAUACAUGUCAUGUAAGAACUCAAUAGUUGCAAUAUGCAAAGUAGUCCUUUGACCUAAGGCAUCAUAGAUGUCUAAUGGUUAGGUCCUUGAUCUUUGAUCAUGUUAAAUGGCAUUCCAUUGGAGUGUCCACGGCAUUGUUGGGAUCAAGCUAUCUAGUCAUGUAGGCAUAUGAAUGCACAACAAGGGAUCUCUAACCUUCCAUGGUGGAAGGAGAAUACUCUAAGAUAUGAUUCGGGAGUCUUUGGCCAAAGCAUAUGAAUAUGACUUAGGAAAUUUGUUCCAAAUCAUAUUCAAUCGAAUCAUAUAGAGAAGUAUCACAUUGGAUAGUAGACAUGAAACAAACUAUCACUCAAACAAUGUGAUUAAGAGUAUUGUAUUAGAGAAUGACCGUAUUGCAUUGUAGUUGUAACUGGAUAGGUUCUCCAACCACUUAUACUUAGCUUGGGUAACCAUGAUAUGCUGCUAGGUGUCACUCAUGGUUUGUGGAAGCCUUGAAGAUUAGCCAACACUAAUCAAAGGGAGAAUUGAAAUGUUGUUUUAAUUCACAAUCGAUCGUUAAGAGUAACAAUCGCCCACUGCCUCGCUAAUUGGAACCUAAUGGAUCGUACACCGAGUAAGGGUGAAAGUGAAGAAAUAUAAAUGAGCUGGAUAAGCAAUUAAAUGGUUUAAUUGAGAAUGGUCAAGAUUAAUUAAUUAGUUAAUUAAUUUUACGAAAGGUUCGUAUUGGGCUUUUAAGUUGGUUUUGGGCUUCGGGGCUCAAAAGCGUUUUGGUCCACAAGGCCCAUUAUGUUUAAGUUGUAUGACAACUAAAACAAAAUGGGCAAUUAGCCCAAUAACAAAGGUAAGGCCGGCCAUAAGGGUGAGGGUAGCAAACUUGGAUUAAUUACAAGUUUGCCACUCACUUGAAAUGAAGUAUAAAAUCAACUUUAUAGCUUUAUUUCUCAUUAGGGUUUUUCUUGGUGAAAUGAGGUGAAACACUUUCUCUCAUUUUCUCUAAAGAGGCCGGCCACUUAGAGGGGAAUUAGCUACCAAUCUUUUCUUCUCUAAGUCAUCCAUUUCAUCUUCACACUUCAUCCUUGGUGUGGAGACUUAGAGACAUCAAGCUUUUGAUGUUUUUGGAGAACUAAUCCUCAAAUCCUCAAAGAAGCAAAGGAGCACUAAAAGGAGGAAAAUCACAAGGAAUAUCCAAGGAGUAAGGAGGUGACUUGAAGGCCUUCCACUUGGGUGAAUCCCUUGUGUAAACAAGGAUGAGCUUCAAGGGUAAAGAAACUCUAAAUCUUUCCUUCUCUUUAAUGUUGUUAAAGAGUUUAUUGGUUCACCAUAUACUAGGCUUUGAAAGUCAUGGGUUUUAUGAAUUGUUUUUGAAUGCAUGCCUACUUUAAAGUGUUAAUAGUUUGCAUAUGUAUUCAAAUGUUCUUACAUGUUCUUAGCUAGGACAAAUAUUUUCCUUCAGUCUUUCAGUAGCAAGAACAAACAACUUCAAAGUACAAGAAACUUACAUUCUGUUCGGGCAGGAAUUCUGGGUUUGGUCCCUCGCACAGCUCCUCUAGGGAAUGGCACGUUGUUGGUUAUCUGGCAGGUCUUGUUGUUGGGUAUGCUGCAAGAUAAGUUUACAGUUAGUUAGCUUGAAAGGUGCCUUUGGAGUAGACCUUGAGGCUCAUAAUCAAAGCUAAAAUGGAUCUAAGCAUGCCAUUGUUAUCUUUGUAUAACAGAUUGUUGAAUAGAAGUGGAUUAAAUUGUUUACUUGUGCCACAAGUUACUUAGACUUCUUGCUUAUCAAAGGAUUGUCACAGAUUGGUUAAUUCUGCAUUAAGUUCUUUUCUUGCCUUGUAAACAAAGACUUUUAAUUCAUAAUCCUAUAUGUCCAAUAUGAAGGGGGUUCGAGGCCCUUCCAACUGUCUUAUCGAUCAAGGUUUACUUUAAUGGAAACAGGCUUAAUAAAUUAACGAGAUUUAAAUAUAAAGGGAACUCUUAAGUAGAAAACAGUUGAAAGUGACUUAAAUACAUGAAGGAAAGUACAUUAAACGACAGAUCUACUAAAUGUAAAUACAAAGAAGAGAGACUCAGGCAAGAUUUAACUUUGUUGAGCAAGGUUGAACUUUUUGCAACCACUUCUCUUUGUGCUUAAAGAGGUUUGUAUGCUAAAAAGGAUGAAGAGUAAAUAAGUUUUACUAGAGGAAUCGAUACUACAACACUAAAGGAAUGUAGCAAAGCUUUUACACUAGACAAAAGAUGGCUUUUCCUAAGGGAACUAUAGCUAGAAGGGAUUGAAUCUGGACAAGGUUCAGUUUUCUGGGUACGAAUUGGCUUGAGAACGGAGUUUGUAUGUCUUUUGAUUGGUUGGUUGAGUGUCCAUGUCUCUAGUGUCCCUUUCUCCUUUUUAGACAAUUUGGCCUGACUAUCUUGGCUUUGCUUAUGGUUGAUGGCUUUCGGAGGGCAAUGAGUGAUCGGAUCAUAUUUAUAUAUUUUUACUUCGAAUUCACUCGUCUUUUCUUAGUUAGUUCCUUAUAUUUUUGAGCUAUUUACGUUAUUUUUGUGAAACAUCAUCAUAUUUAUGUUUUGUAGAAAGAAUAAAGAAAAGAAAUGAAAAAAAAUAAAAAUAAAGAAAGCUAAAGAAAAGGGAAUCCAAGAGAGGACUGACGUGGGAGAGAAGUGAGUCCACACGGGAGGGUGAAAAGAAUAAAAGAAAGAAGGAGCUGGACACGUGAAGGAGUUAGAGCAAAAAAAGAACGGUGAAAGAAUCCAAGGGCAGCUGAAAAAAAAAGGGAAUAAAAUAAUGGAAAGCAAAAGCAUACGGGGGAGAAAUAAUCAGGAAAGGAGGGAUCCAAAGAAAGAUAUACGAAAGAAGAAGAAAAAGGAGAAUCCAAGGCGUGAAAGGGAUAGAGGCGGGAGACAGAGAAGACUUGGAAAGGGGGGAAAUAAAAUAAUAAGAUAGGAGGAGAAAGCUGCCUGGGAGCAGCGGGGUGGAGAGAGGGGCUGCCCUUUGGGCAGCUCGCAGAGACGCAGGAACGAAGAGACGUGAGGAAGGCUGACGGGGCAAGUGAGGCUCGGGAGGUCAGGAAGAAGGAGAGGACGUGCAGGAGAGAGGAAAGACACGGGCAGGGCAGUACAGUGCAGGGAGACCAGCAGACGCAUGUGAGGAGGGACUGACAGAGCACGUACUGACGACGCAGUGAAGCUGCACAGCAACAGAUCACCUUCUUUCGGUUUAAUCUUUCCAAACUUCUAUUUUAUUUCUGUUUUAUAAUGUGUAAUUAAAUUUAUGUUGGCUAGAGGUUAAUUCAAAGCCAUGAUUUAUAUUUGUAAUAUGAAUUGAUUACCUUCGGUUGUGAUUUCAUAAGUUGUGAUUUCAAUUUACUUAUCCGUUCGUAUAAAAACUGAUUUGUGUAUGUUGGUUGAGAGUGCAAGCUUAAUUUACAUGCAUGAAUUUGAUGCUAGAAUAUAAGUGAAUUUCACCUAAUCGUUAUGAACUUAUUUUCACAAGUAGUAAAGGUUGCUAGUCACAAUCACGUUAAGUAAAUUCUUGGCAAGAGUAUCAUGCUUUUCAUAGUUACGAAUGCCUCGUCAAUGCUUAUAGUUUUCACAAAGUUUAAUGAUCUUUGAUUGUAUCUCUAUUGUGCUUUUCACGUAGGGGACUUUUGAAGAAUGUUUUGAAUUGUUGUAUGCGUUUUCCCGUCCAAUUCAAUAACUUAAGGAAAACUUGAAGAUUAAAAAAGUGCUAUUCACGGUUAAUCUGAAGUGUUGAAAUUCACAACUUAUUGAAAGAACAACUGAAAAUCAAUUUAGGUUGCAUAUGUGUCAUGUGUGGAGAAAAACCCUCUAGCUAGUCCGUCAUUUAUCCUUUCACCUUAAUUUCAUGUUUUUGUCAAUUCUGUAAUUUAUUUAAGUUUAAUUUACUUCUAGUCAAAACCAAACACCCUUCCAUUAUUAAAUUAUAUUAUUUAGUUAGUUUUCAUUAUUGUUAGUCUUUCAAUUCGAUUUCUGUCCAUUUCAGUCCUAGUGUUUAAUUUGAUUAUUUUCAUUAUUUUGAGUCAUCCUAAGUGUGUUUCGAGUUAUUAGAGUUUUUAGCCUAGUUUUGUGUCCUUGAGUCUUGUUUAAUAUUUUUAAAUUAAUUUAGAAUAGAUUAGCAAUCCCUCCUAAUCCCCGGCCUAGAACGAUACCCUACUUACAUCUAUACUACAGUUGUCAAAAAGAGGGUUUAAUUUUGUGUGUUAACUUAUUUUUCACAUCAAUGAGUCAUCACCUAUUUACUUGUCAUGUCCUUGAAAAGUACUUUUUCGCUGGUAGUGAGUUGGUCUCUGUCAUCCAUCACUUCAAUCAUAGGCACAUGGCCUAUACCUUGGCUAAAAUGGCUUCAAUUUGCUUCAGGCCUAUCAACUGGGCUUCGAGCAAGUCCUCAUUUGCUUUGGCGCCUUUGGGCCUUCAUUACCAUAAAGCCCAAUGUUAAAUAUUAACCCAAACACAUUUGAUCUUGUUUCUUUAUCCACUUAUUCUCUCCUGCCAACUAGGGGUGGGCACUUCGAGACCAAAAACUGAAACUAAACCGUAAUGAAGGAAACUGAUUUGGGGAAACUGAUUUGGUUUUGGUUUUGGCAUUUUGGAAUUGAACCGAAAUCGAACCGCACUUCAAAAAUUUAAAAAUAUUUAAUCAAAUGCCCAUAUCAGGUGCUAUGUUCUAUUUGGUUGUUUGUUGGACUUCAUACAUUUAGUAUGAACUCAAUCAUGUCAAAAGUUCAUCUCUGUUAGUCUUCGACUAUUAGUCAGUCGGCCUCUCUCUCUCUCUCAACUCUCAUCUCUCAUCUCAAGUCUAAAGUCAAGUUCACAUGCAUAAUAUUUCAUUCCUUGAUAUUGUACUUGCAUGCUUAGAUGCUCAAAAUGCUAUCAUUAAAAUUACUGCUUAAUAAACAGUUAACGAUUUAGCAGUAAGAAAGAUAGGUUUUUUUUUUUUAUUUGCACGGUUCAGAAUUUACAUUUAUUAUUUCUUAUGCAGAGUUCUUUUCUAUAAGUGUAAUUUGCUAUAACAUCUGAUGUAAUUGAAUUGUAUAAUUCAGAAUAAUUAUGCAGUAGAUGGUUUUUGUAUUCAUACAGUAGGCAAUCAAAUUGUUUGGAGUAGCACCACGAAUAGUAGGUAAUCAAAUGGUUUUUUGUAUUAACAUUCCUACAUCAUUAGACACUGCUUAUGUUUGAGUUGAUGGACUAAAUUAGUACUAUUAACAUUUCAUAGAACUGCAAAUCUGCGACUGCAGUUCAAUGUUUUUGAAGUUAUUCUUUCAUAGUAUUUGCAAAUGAUUUGAACAGAACCAAAAUUGUUUGAAACCGAACCGAAUCAAACUAAAUGGUUUGGUUUCAUUUCGGUUUGAGCUUCAAAACCGCAACGCACCAAACCGCAAAAAAUUUCAGUUUCGCUUUCACUCAAAACCACACCCAACCGAAUUGUGCCCAUCCCUACUAGCUAUUGCCAACUAAUGAUGAUUUUUUUUUUCACCUGAUGAACAUGCAUGCAAAACAAAAUAUGACUAUAGUUGUAGAAACGGGCCCUACUAAGAAAAACAGGUUCGCGAUGAAGACAGAUAAGUCGAGCGAAAACCAAAUUUGUCACCUGACAUUUUGCACAACGAGAUCGGCGUUGCGCAAAGAUCGGAUCCUUGGCACUUCAGAUGUCAACGAUUCGACUUUUUAUGUUCUCUGUCUGGAGGAGGAGGCAGACAAAAGGUAGGCAUUCCCAGGCCCCCGGUGAACAUUCCCUGGCCUACGACCAAGGGUCUAAUCGAGGGUGUCCAUCAUGAUCUGAAAACUCGGAUCCUCAGUAGGAACCACCUCUUCGAUCGAGGUUUCUGGGCGAAGCUAGAAAGCCACCUCCUGUAGAACCGUCUGGCUCUUCUCCACCAUAGUGGCCUGGAAAAAUGAAAACAAACAAAUUAAUUUUAAUAUAAAUGUAAUUAUCAUUAAUUUUUAAUUAAAUAUUACAAAUUUGAAAUAACUUACAUGGAGCUGCUCUGCCAGAUCAUUCUUGGGCCAAACGUAUACCUCCUUGAACAUGUCAAUCUCAUUUGCAAAAAAAAUGUCAAUCUUAGGAAACUUUGACCCCCUGAAUUAAAAAAAAUUAACACAUAGGUUAUCAAUUGUGUAAUAGAGAGUAAAAACUAUUAAAACUUAAUAUAAAUAUACGGUUACCUGAUGUCACUCCUCCAACCUAUAAGAAAAGCGUCGCAAGUUAGAGCGGUGAAGAAGCUUCUUCUUCGACCAAUUGAUCGAGUUUGCCUUCACUUUUUUCAGUUAAAUAAAAAAAUGUAUUAGUUUGGAUAUUUAUAACAGAUUAAUGAAAAAAAUUAAAAUUUUAUUGAAAAUUAUAAACGUAUUGAUAAAAUAAUAUAUAUUUUACUUACGAGAGUCACUCCCAUUCAUCUCAAUGGUCCACCAACUCCUUAGGGCACCCAACUUCUAGAGCAGCUGCAGACCAUCACAUCACUUAUAAUGCUUGUAGAGGUCGCUCUUCCACUGAGUUAAUCGGCCGGUGCAAAUCUUGUGGAUGUACCAUUUUUUAUUGGCAUCGAGGUUCCUGAAAUCAUCAAGGUUCGUGAGAUCAUAAAGAUGUACCAUUUAUUAUUUCCGAGAAGGAUUUUCUACAAAUUCAAAAGCAUUUGUCGUUUUAUGCCAAUCAGGUACGCUUAAAAUAAAGGAAGAUAUUUAAAACGAAUAUGAAGCAUGAAAACAUUCCCCAUGAUGCAUGAACCCCCUACAUUUAUAUAUACCUUCCGAUAUAUGUAUUGUAUAUGUUUCAUAUAUUUGUCAAUAUAUAUAUAUAUAUAUACGUUUCAUGCAUUACGCAAUUUUUGCUAUGUGGAAUUUGUGAGUCAAAGCAUUGAAAUAAAUUAGAAGCAAUUCGGGUUUUUCAAACCCUAGUGUCGAAAAAAAAUAGAAAAUUGGGAUUUUUUUGCAAUAUAAGUCGCAACCCUAAGCUGAGCCGAGACACAUGGGUUGGCCUGAAGCCCAACCGUGUUAAGCAGUCAUCGAAACAACGUUGUUUGACAUCUGGACCAAGGCAGCAACCUUUUUGGCUUGGUGUGUGCGAGACUAACCAGGCUUCUGACUUAGUUAGGUUUUUCAAUUAAGCCUGCAACUCUAACCUACCUCCAGCACAGCCUGUAACCGCAUGUUGGGCCUUGUCCUCGUGUUCUUGGCCCAAACUAACAAGCUUGUUACUUGCUGGGCUUGCCCCUACAUCUCGGCCCACCUGCAGCAGCCCCUUUUGCUAUUGGGCUCGCCAUGUCGUGGCCCAAAAUUGAAGCCAGCCUUUGGCUAGGCUUUGUUACACCUUAACCCAAGCUAGCGUAAGCUGGGCUUGCUUCCCUACGCUUGUUAUUGGCUCAAUUAUAGUAGCCUUGAUCUACUGGGCUUAUCCCAACCCAAAGGCCUGUAGCCUUCUCGUGGCCCCUAAAGGCCUGCAACCAUGAUGCAGAGCAUUACCCCUUGCACUACAGCCAACCCAAUCAAGCUGGUAUGCGUUGUUUUUCGACAUAAUGCCAUAUUUUUGGAAUCCCUACUUCAUAACCAUGCUCUUAUAAUUUUGGGACGUUAUUGGAUAACAAGAAUUAAGCUAUAAUUCACUUGUCACUUGGCCCGCCGCCAAUUGAAGCUAAUAUGACCCGCAUGUCAUUAUUUUUCUUCCACAAUCGACCCCGUAUGGUCCCGAUCUAUUGAAUUAAUUAAAAGUGACCAGCAGUCAAUUAAUCUGACUAAAAAUCCAAAAUUAUUAACCUAAAGAUCACUUUUAGACAUUAACGAUUCAAUAAUUUAUUUUUCUUCUUUGAACCAUUGACAUCCUUUCGUAAUCCCGAAGCGCUUACACUUGAGUUCCCGAAGCAACUCAAACCCAUUACACUUAAAUCAGCAUAUCGUAUUAUGUGUUCUAGCAGGAACCUCUCUUUUAUGACUAAACGUUCAUAAACUAAAUUGAACCUAUAUUUGCCUUUGAAACCCGAAGUUUUCUUAAAGCAAUACACCCAUAAAAACCAGACGUUUUUCUUGUAAAAUCAUGUCUUAAAACCGGAAUGUUGUAAUAUUUAUGCUUAUGGAUAUCUUAUUUCCAUAGCAUCAAUCACAAUCUUGUUCUCUCCAUUCAAUGAAUUGUCAAACCGUCACAAGUUCAAUUUUCCUGAUUUGGAUGUUUCUAAUAGAAACCAAUUUAUGUCGGGUACAAGACGUAAAUCUCCACUUGACUAUCAAGAAGCUGAGACACCAUUAAAGCCAACAACGGCAUGGAACAGCUGACAUUGCCUAAAGCACAUCAUGAUUACGUCCAUGAAUGAGUACGAUUCUGAAGUUUAUAAAUUCGAUGGAAUUUCAACUCGAGAAUACUUUUUCUCAUCCUUCCAUGUUUCUAACUCACUCCCGAGGCAAUAGUGUAGAAAGCGGAAGUUUACCAAAUCCUUGGAUCUGAUUACUACCAAAAAUGUGAGAAACCGGUAUAGACUUAGCUUUAGCUGGAGUCUACCAAAUAGUGGUGCCUUGCUUCGACAGGGCUGCACCAAAAGGCAUGCUCUUCUUCAACAUAGGUGCACUGAAUAGUAUUGCUCUACUUUGGCAGAAGCCUUCCAAACAGACCCCUCUAGCUUCGGUUAAAGCCUACCAAAUCCAAUUUGGGUCUGUCUCUCUCAUAAUCCAAUUUCGAAUUGUUUUUAUAAUAUAUGGUAGAAUCAAGACUUGACAAGGUGUGGCAUCAUGCCCGGAGCGUGAUCCUUGGCACCUAAGACCUAAAACUUCAAGAAUAAGGGAUAUUGUUCCCAAACCUCAACCCUGCAUAAUCUACUUUCAUCUCGAUGGAAUAGAUCAUUGGGUAUGCACCUGUUUGUGCCCCUACCAAUGUUGUUGAGGAGUACCAUUCUAGUAGUCAAUAUGAGACUAAUUUUGCUCCACCAAACAUCGUUGGAAGAGCAUAAUGUUGACAUGAAUGGCCAUGUUGGUCGAAUCCACGUUAGUAACAUUGGUUUACUUUGUGAACAUUUUUCUAUGUUCUUGGAUUCACGUUUGGUGUUUAUUUUCGUUAUGGAUAAUCUUAUUGAUGUUGUCCUCGAAUAUGAGUUAAUUGAAUCAUGUUUCUUGUAUACAUGUGACCAAAUUCAAAUUAAACACGUGAUUAGGUACAAAUGUAGGAAAAUUAGUUGUCUGGAUAAAUGCGAUACUACACACGCUAACUUUAUAUCUAUAUCACAUCUCUAGCAACGACUUCAAGUUUAUCCAACCUGAUUAAGAGCAUUGGCACACUCCUCGUUGUAUGAAUGGUACUAACUUACCAUUUAAUAAACCUUAUAUUCUCCUCGUUCAGGAAAAAUGUUGUUAAGUCUUAAGGAUAUUCGAGAGAACAAUGAUCAUGAAUGAAACCACUGAAGAAAAUAGAAUAGAAUAUCUUUUCACCACCUCCAAAACUAAGCAUGAAGCUUUGCUUUAGGGCCAAUGCAUUGUAUUCUAACUAGGAACACAUCACAUAUGGCCGGCCUAGAGCCUGGUGAUUGAACAGUUUACUUGCUUUGGCCCGACUAUUUGGGACACUUAGGCCUCGUUUGGCAGCUCGGACUGUACUGACUAUUUCUGUCGGAUAGGAUAAAUAGUCAUCGGAUAGUACUGACUAAAUUAGUCGGGCGUUUGGUGCAGUAUCGGACUAAUGACCGUAUUAUUUAUACUGUGUUUGGUUUUAUACCGGAUAGGCUAAAUCAAACUUAAAAUUAAAUUAAACUUAUAAAAAUAAAAAUAAAAUAUCUGAAACCAUCCUUUCUUCUUCCCCAUUCUCUCCGCCGCACCCCUCAAACGUCCCUCUCUCUUCCUUCUUCUUCCCCGCCUGCCUGCACAUCUGGUGAGCAACCAUGAGUCAUCAGAUCCACAUCAACCCAAAUCAAGAGUGCAUGCUUCUUCGCAAGACCUAGUUGCAGGGGAGGACGACGACGUCGAUGGGGAGGACGACGACGGCGACGGGGAGGACGCCGAUGGACGACGACGUCGACGGGGAGGACGCCGAUGGUGAGAGAAGGUAACCGGGGGGGGAGGACGACGACGCCUAGAGAGAGAGAGAGAGAAAGAGAGAGAGAGAGAGAGGGCCGACUAAUAAUCCCGGCCUUUUGGUUGGUUUUAUUAGUCCGGUGUAUACCGUGCUAAAUAAGCACACCGAUUAAUUUAAUCUGGCGCUUAUUUAGUACGAGUGAACGCCAAACACCCGCGUCCGUAUAAUUAGUCCUAUCUGAUCCUCUAUCCGAUCUGCCAAACAGGGCCUAGGUAAAACAAUGAUGCCAUGACGCAUCUCCUUACCUGAAGUAAGGAUCUUGUGCCUACAAGCACAAUUUCCUAAAGCCCACUCGUUUGAGAAAUUUUAUUUCUAUGUCAUUCCUCGCAAAUAUACGAAAGACUCUCUUUUCACAGUGGAUUCAAAGGAAUAUAUGUGGACUAAUUCAACCAAAAUGGGAACCAUAUAAAUACUUAUGGUUAUGGUUAAUGAAUCGACAAACUGGUCACAUAAUCUUCCACACACAUUGUUGCUAAACCUUAUAGCUGGUUUUAAGGGUUCACCACCCUACUUAUCCCAUAAACUUUGAAAGACUGGAUAAUGCUUGAGAGUUUAUAUCGACGGUUUUUCUUAAGUAUUGCAUGUCUUUUAGGUUUAUAAUUGAACAUUGAAUUCCCAUGUCCACCCCAAACAGCCUCGCAUAGUGAUCAUAAAGCACAAUUUAAAUGAUCACCCGGACCUUGGUGAACGUACCAAGUUUUCAAUUUCUACCUAGGGCUAUGCAAUCUUAUACACAGAUAUGUUAGUCCACCUUAAGGCCUAUUGUCACCCCCUAUUCGAUGUUACAGUUGCUUACUGGGUAUGAACCUAACGUUUCAUACUUAAGCAUUUGGGUGUGCAUUCCAUGUGCCAAGUUGCACCGCUGCAACAUACCAAUAUGGGUUUUCAAAGAAGGAUGUGAAUCUUUGUCGCUAACGAUUCUUCUUCACACUAGCUCUCUUAGAGCCUUUGCACACAAUCUCUUUACCACUCAUUUGCGGAUUGUCACUUCAAUGAGACAGUCUUCCCGCUGUUAGGGGGAAAUAAGAACGUCAACAUUCCUAUAGAAUGACGUAAAUUUACAUGGACGUUGCCCACUAUGUCUCAUCUUGAUCCUCAUACUGCACAAGUGUGAUAAGCAAGUGCGAUAUAUUCUAGCUUUCAGAAUGUUGCUCGAGAUGCAUUCCUCUGAUCUAGCUAAAGUGACGAGAUCAUAUACCAGCUGCAAAUAUUCAUGCAAGGAUACACGUACUUAAAGGAUGUCGAGUCAACAUCCCUGAAGAGUGUGCCACCCUUGUUGGACAGUUUGGCCGCCCCUGUUGGACGGUCUUGUACAUAGGGGUAUAGCUAAUCAAUCUAUCUUAGCCUAAAGCACGAUAGAUCACCAAGUUCAUACGAUUAGCUUCCCUAAAAGAUGAAAGUCAUGGCACAAUAAUGAAUCCAUACUCGAUCGCUGUCUCAAUCAUUUCCAUCUCAUGAGAUUAAUCCGGAUUACUCUCAAGACCUGAAGUUCUUAGUCCAGUAUACUAGUUUGGAUGAUAUAAUGGAAUUGGAAUGAGAUUAUCAUCGAUGAUGUUUUCACUUAUAUAGUAGCUACCGACAUAAAUGAAAAAUGAUGAUAUCGAACCGUGUUCUAUUGAUUAGUGACAACGUAGAACUGAUUGGACAACCGAAAUUACAAUCCAGGUUAAAUUCCUUACCAAUGUGUGUUUUGGACCUAUUAUUCCUACAUUGCCCAAUGCAACCAUGUUGUGUUACAAGUGGGAAAGGAAGCAUAAUGAGAUGAAUGAAAUAGUGUAAUAUGACACACGCUUUACGGCACAAGGUUUCUCUCAAACGCCCUAUGAUUGACUACAUCAUUAUGAAUAUGGUUAGUGUUUCUCCAUGGGGAUAUAGAUACGAAAAUUUACAUGAAAGUUCCAGAAGAAUUACAUGGAUUGGUUCAAAUAGUUCCAAACCACGAAACACCCUCUCAACUUAUUUGAGGCGUUCACUUACGGAUUGAAAUAAUUUGACGGAUGUGGUAUACCCGUCAAAGUGAUUAUUUGAUCAGUUAGGGAUAUGAAGUAUGCUAUUGCGUGUUAAACUAUGAAGUCUUAUUUGGAAUUGCUAGAGUUAUAGUUUAUGUCAAUGACAUGAAUCUCACUAAGACUCUAGAAGAGCUUGAGAAAAUUGCCUCGCACAUGAAGGGGAAAUUUGAGAUGAAAGAUUUUGGGAAAACUCGUUUAUGCCUUGACCUAAAGUUCAGGCGUUGUUCUGACAAUACUUUGGUCUACUAGUCAAACUAAACCCUGAAGGUGUUACCUUUGAGUAUACAUAUGAUCCUCCAUACGUUAUAUGCAAAUGAGACACUUGAAGAGGUUAUGAAAUCUGAAAUUCCAUAUCUAAGUUCAACUUUGUGCUUUAUUGUACUUAGCUCAUUGUGUUAGAUAAGACAUCUCAUUCGCCACCCUGAAGGUACUACAGAUUUGGGCAAAUCCCAACGUAUCCCGAGUGGAUCCAACCCCCUUGAUCCUCGGAAUGAUACUUACCUUAUUGGUUAUGAUGACGCUGGUUACUUAUCCAACCUGCACACGGCACAUUCCUGAAUGGUUAUGUCCUUACCGUUAGAGAUAUCAUAAUAUCUUGGAGGUCUACGAUAUGACCUUAGUUGCGAAAUUUUUGAAUCAUUCCAAGACUCACCUCACUUCACUACGCCAUAAGUAAGACAUGGUUAGGAGUUCUUCUUAUGUAUAUUCGAAGUACUUGCUGUUUUCAUCUAUUGUUGAGUCCCAACGACGAUCCAUGAAGAUUAUGCCGCAUGUAUCAACCCGACCAAGACAUGAUACAUCAACGAAGUCAACACCAAGACAUAUUGCGUCUACAUCUACAUUAGGAAAGCAUCAAGAGACUGAACUCAUGUAAGCCAAUCCCAUAUAACCUUGCCAACCUCUACACGACGUCACUACCGAAGUUAACCUUCCAGAAGCUUGUCUAAGGAAUUGGUAUGCCUAACUAUUCAUAUGCAAAUGUUUAUAGUUCUCAUUUGGAAGUUCUGUCAAACUCAAAGGGAGUAUCUAGAAGUAUACUCACUUGAUCUUAAUGUACUAGUUUUCCCUACGAUUAGGAACCUUUUUCCCACUAGGUUUUUGCUACCUAACUAAGUUUUGAUGAGGCACCCAUCCUGGGUUAGUCAUACCCUUGUGAGCUGCUCUACUUACAUCCAGAAGACGUAUAGUUUUGACUUAAUGCAACUUCUCACUUUUCUCCUUAGUUUAUGGGUUUUGCCUAGCGAUGUUUUGUAAGUUUUACAUGUUAUGUAUUCUUCCGUUGAUUUGAGACUCGCAUUCGCUCAUUGUGCCGACAACUUCAUCAAUUGAACUUACUUCAUCGCUGAAGACCUGAUGCGCCAUUUGUUUGAGUAUUUACACACUCAAGGGGGAAUGUUGCAGUCCUAUUAGAUUAGGAAUGUGAUUGUGUAAAUCCUAACAUAUCUAGCAUAUUCUUAUGGCAUUCUACUAUAUCUCUUAGUCUAGAUAUUAUCCUAAUAGAGUUGUAAUCCUAUUAGGGUAAGGAUUUAACCUUCUAUAUUACUAUAAAUAAAGGCACAAUGGGGUGGAAUAGAACACACCUCACAAUUACAUAUUUCUCUUCUCUCUCUAUGUGCCGCACCUCAUCUCUCUGGCCUUCAUAGUUGUUCAAUAAAUUAUGCCUACAACAUAUUCAAUAAUAUCAUUAUUUAUGACACAAGUUUUCAUUAAUCCUCAUCCAAAGUAGAAUAAAUAUCAUUAUCAUCAUUUUCAUCAGGAUUCAGACUCUCAUUCCUCAUAGUUUGUAUGCACGUCCUCAUCGUCGUUCCCAUGCUUUGGUGCAUUGUAUCGCAGCGGAUCCCUGAGGUCAACCAUAAUAAAGUCGAUCGAUAUUUCAACUUCAGGGCCUCCAGCUACUUGAUCCGAUUCUUGUACAAUAGUCAUAUCCCACAGUGUUUUUACACUAAUUUAUGUUGAAGUCUUAAGCUGUUGGUCAAUGACUUCUUCCUUGUCAUCAUCGUUAACAAGAUCUCAAUUCGAAAUAUCACACCUUUCUAUGCUCAAUCUUUUGAACUACUUUCCAUCAUUUCCCACCAUUUGGGUCAUCUAUAUAGAAAAUUUGUUUGGCCAUCAUUGCCAAAAUGUAGGGUCAUCAUUAUACCAACAUCUGUUAGUGUUCACCGAUAGCAAACCAUCAUCUUGCUUAACACCUCUACUCCUACGUGGGUUUGUAUCAAACCAGCGACACUUAAAAAGGAUAACUUGACAUCGGUCUUUGUAAAGCAAUUGCACAACACUUAUAAGUUUUCCAUAGAAAUCAAUUUCUGCAAAAUCGCGUACACCUAGGACAUGUACCCUACUAUUAUGAGUACAUAGCUUGUAAUCACGAUCAGCUGCCAAAAACUUGAUGACGUUUACAUGACUACCGAAUUACAAUUCUGUGCUUAAGGGCCCGAUAGCCAAGUUGUAUAAUUCUUCAGUGUAAGCAGGCAAAUUCAUAUCUUUCAAUUUCUUCACCUAAAUUAGGUAUAAAAAGUUAACGUGUUAGUUUACCAUUUGCAAUGAUGCAAAUAACCCAAAACACUAACAACUUACAUGUUGCAAAACCAAUGAGGAAACAAUUUACGGGCUUCUUGACAUGUAUAUGUGAAGGAUAAUCCCGCUUCAUCAACUCUUCAUGCUCAUCUAGGUAAGUCAUUGUCUCGUCACAAUUCUUAAGUACAAACCAAUGUGCUACCUCCAUGUCCAUUUGGGUAAACGACUCGCCUCUAAUUGGUUCACCAAAGGAUCGUGCAAUUUGAGCAAAAACAGAAAAAAAUUCACUUCUCACACCACCAUCAUUAUUGCGUUGUAGUCGAUUAAACGUCGUCUCAACAUCUUGUAGGUACAUUGCACAAAAUGUAAGCGACUCAAAUACGACCCAUGCCUCCAUAAUUGAUCAUUCGAGCUUUACCUUGUUCCAUACUCUUUUCUUUUUUAAUUCACAGAGUAAUCUGCAGCAAUAAAAAGUUAACGUUGAUGAGUUCGGCCAGCAUUGCCUCAUUCAGUAAGUGAAUCAUCACGUGGACCAUGCUUGUGAAGAAAGAUGGAGGAAAUAUUUGUUCAGACUUGCAUAUGACUUCAAUAAUAUCGUCACGCAAUUGUUUAACAUUGAACUUGCGCAAAGAUCUUGCAGAUAAUUGAGAAAAAAAUAAUUCGCCAACAAAAUAAUCGGCUUCAACACAUCUUUGGGCAAGAGGUAUUGAAUACCAACUAGGAGAAAGUGUUGGAGUAUCACAUGACAAUCAUGACUCUUGAUGCCAGAAAAUUUGACUUUGUCCAUGUUUGCACAACGACCGAUGUUUGAAGCAUACCCAUCAGGAAACUGUACAGACGAUAGAAACUACAAAAACUCUUUCCUUUUAUCCGGUUUCACAGAAAAAGAUGCAAGCUUGUUUCUAGCUAUAUCUCUGUCCCUUGUCAUCCAUAAACCUGGCCUAAUGCCCAUUCGUUCCAAAUCAAAAUUCGAGCUUUUAUCGUAUCCUUUGUUUUUCCCUCGAUGUCUAGUAUAGUUCCGACCAAUGUAUCAAAAACAUUCUUCUCAAUAUGUAUUACAUCACAGUGAUGUCUUAAUUUUAAGUUCGACGAAUAUAGGAGCUCAACGGAGCAAAUUCUAAACGAUUCACCUGAGCUAAAAUAUCAUCUCCAAACCAUUCUCUAGGUCUUGGUCGAAUCUUUGUUCCGUUGAAGAAGACUGUCUUGUUUUGACGCCACUUAUGGUCCCACGGCAACCAUCUAUGAUGCCUUAGGGUGCGUUUGGUACGUGGGACGGGAUGGGACGGAACGGGACGAGGCGUUCCGUCCCGCGUUUGGUGCGCCAAAAAUGGGUGGAACGGGUUGUUCCACGGGACAGAUUUUGGGUGUUUUUGCGUCCCACCUCCCCCCUGGAACGGGUUUGUUCCACGUCUGUGGAACACACUGUUUUACCAUUUUAAGACAAAUAUACCCCAUGUCUUUUUCAAAAAUUACACCUUCGUUUCGUCCCGUCCUGUCCCGUCCCGUCCCGUUCCGUCCCGUUCCGUCUGGGUGCGUUUGGUACGCAGACGGAACGGGACGGAACGGGACGGGACGGGACGGAACGAAGGUGUAAUUUUUGAAAAAGACAUGGGGAAUGGUAAAACAGUGUGUUCCACAGACGUGGAACAAACCCGUUCCAGGGGGGGAGGUGGGACGCAAAAACACCCAAAAUCUGUCCCGUGGAACAACCCGUUCCACCCAUUUUUGGCGCACCAAACGCGGGACGGAACACCUCGUCCCGUUCCGUCCCAUCCCGUCCCACGUACCAAACGCACCCUCUGCGUACCAAACGCACCCUUAGGUAACAAAUUUUCCUCACGUGCCAAGAACACGUUACGUCCUCUUUGCAAACCAGGCAUGCGAAAUAACCCUUGGUGCUCCACCCUGACAUCAUAGCAUACGCGAGAAAAUCAUUUAUAGUCCACAUCACUGCUUCUCGCAAGGUGAACAUCUUUCCGAUAGAUUUAUCAUAUGUGGAACACCAUUUUCGCAUAAUUCUUUUAGCUCAUCGAUCAACGGCUGUGAAUAAACAUCAAUAGACAUGCCUAAAUCUUUGGUUAUCAACAAAGACAUCAUCAUAUAUUCUUUCUUCAUGCAUUUUCAAGGUGGAAAAUUAUACGAAAUUGAGAAGAUUGGACAAGUGAUGUUGUUUUGGUUUAGAACCCCAAACGGAUUAAACCCAUCUGUCACAAGUCUGAAUAUGAUGUUAUGCAGCUCUCGAGCAAAAUUGGGGUAUAUCCGACCAAAUUCUUUCCAUGCCUCUCCAUCUGCAGGAUGUCUCAUAAAGCAUAACUUUUUGUGGAAUCUUCGUUGUUCUAUUCUGAGAUGUGAUUUUAAACCGCAACUCAUUGCAUAUCUGACAAUUUAUUCUCUUUGCAGAACAAAAUACAAUUAUUUUUACACACAUGAAUUUUUUCAUAGCCCAAUCUAAGAACAUUCAACACAUUCUUUGCACUUUUAUGAUCUCUAAGCAGUCAAUUGUCCUUUGGAAGCUUCCUCUUGAAACCCUCAAAAAGUAAUCAAAGCACUAGUUCGACAUAUGAAACUUUAGUUUGCCCUGCAGCAACUCAAUAAUGGUUGUGAGAAUUGAAAAUCCUUUGCAAUCGAGGUAUAAUUCUUGCUUAGCACUUUUUAACAGUUUUUCAUAUUUUUCAAAUGCUUCACUGUCCAUGGUGGGAUAGACGUCAUCUUCUACUUCCUGAUUUGUAUUCAAACUAGCAUUUGGAAAAAACAUCAUUGAUAAUGUACAUAAUUGUUCAUCUAGAUCCAUACUAGAUUCAUUUGUCUCUAUUGAUCAGGUAAUGUGUGAAGAUGAAGCAUGUUGUAUUUGUUCUCCAUGAUGAUUCCACGUAGUACAGAUCUCCAUCAUCCCAUUUCUAACUAAAUGGUAUCGAAUAAUUUCAAAAUAUUCAAUCAUUGAGUUGUUACACUUCUUACAAAGACACUUAAUUUGAGUUGAACCUCGGUUGUUUGCAAUUGCAAAAUCAAUGAACUGAUUUAUUCCAUCCAAAUAUUCAUCAACACAUAUGUUAGGAUUAUGUAUCCACUGUUUGCCCAUAUCGCCUGCAAACAUAAAGAAAUUACAAGGGUUACAACAACUUCAAUUAUGACAUGCCACCUUAUUCUUCCGGUAAAGGUCUUAUCUCAUUCAAGAAAGCACAUUUGCAUGCUGUAAUUUAAGGCUCCAAAACAUUAGAGUUUGAUCGUAGGAAAAUUUCAGCAGCAUCUCCUUACAAUUCUUCAAGUGCACAACGUAGAUACAAAAAAUUACGAUACACACAAAGAACACAGAGAUGCUACCAAAUUUAGCGCAUUCAAACUCUAAUCCGUGAACUGCAAACUACAACAUCUAACUGUGCAUUCUCAAACUGUCCAAAAUUAUGGGAUUCCAGAAUUAUGAGAAACUAAGCUUAUGUGAACAUUGCAAAACAUUUUUAUACAUCCAUACAAAAAUGUUUGCAAACAAAUAAAGAAACUCGUACAAUUCUAAAAUACAAACAAAACAAGUUAAAUGAAUGAAAAUUAAAUUAAUUAUUUAAGAAAAUAUACCUCCAAGAUUAACAGCAAUGCAAAGAGAUGUUGUCUGAAAUUCUUCAGGACGAAGGCAGCAGCUACAAUUGUUUUACAGUUUCUACCUCCUUGCGUUCUGGUUAAAUUCCAUAAAGUUCAUAAUAAAUUUGCACAACGAAAUUACUGUUGCGCAAAACAUUUACUUUCAACACUUUGGCACCAAUACCCUUGCAUUUUGGUGCUUUUAUCACCCCACUUACGGGGCGAAUUAUAGAGCUCGUCGCGCAAAGUCAUCUUGAGCGACAAAUAUUUAAUAAAGACAGUAAAAAACUACACCCAAAUAAAUCAAGAAAUUAUUUAAUUAAACCAUUCAUGCAUAUCUAAUUAAUAUAAACAUUUUUUAUGGGAAAGAAAAUAAUAUUAAACAACAAAACAUCUAGUACAACCAUUUCCAAUACAAUUAAAUUGAAAAGCCGGUAGAGCCUUAAUUAGCAAGCAAUAGUCUCAAACAUGAGGAUUCUCAAGAGAAAGCCCAAGAUGAGUAAGAGAGUCUGCAACAAAAUUAGCCACCUUGAAGAUAUGCUUCCAUUCAAUAUGGCUGAAGUUCUGAGUAAGAACACAGACAUCAUUGACUAUACAACUGAUGUGCCAAGGCACCUUCCACUGCCACUUCACAGAUUCAAUAACUAACUUUAAGUCAUCCUCGACCACAAUCUUUCGAAUACCUUGGCGAAGAGCAAAACGUAGUCCUUCUCUUAAACCUAUCACCUCCGCCACUGAAAUAGUAACACUAUCAAGAUUGAAGGCCCAACUCCAAUAACCCAAGCUUUAUUAUUAUGAAGGACAAAAGCAGCAGCCGCCCUAUCAUUAGACACCAAACCAUCAAAGUUGAGCUUAAUCACAUUCUCAUUAGCGGGUGGAUGCCUUUUAAUAUAUUCUUGAGUGUGAACAAGCUACUUGGCAUCCUUCUUCCCAUUAGCCUUGAGAUAGGCCGUACCCACACUGGUGACAAUAGCGGCGCAUCGCCUAGGGACCGGCAGAACACUCCUGAAAAUUAAAUUGUUUCAUUCUGGCCAUAUUUGCCAACAGAUAAGGAUAACUUUACUGAGAUCAGAUAGAGAGACAUCAUCUUUAGAAUGUAACGCAUCUAGCUCAUCAAGAAACUUAUCAUUGGUAUGGAGAAUUAGAUAUUGUUAGAAAUCAAGUUCCAUACUCUAUUUGCAAAAUCACACUUAACAAAAAGAUGGUAAUGGUCCUCAUCCAUAGACUUGCAAUUGGACAGAGCUUAUCAGUAUUUUUGAUAAACCGCUCUAGACGCACUUUGGUAUGAAGUCUUCCUUGCAUCAUUAGCCACGCAAACAUUUUAACCUUAGGAGGAAUGGUGAACUUCCACAUUUUAUUUAAUAACUUAAUUCGAUUUCCAAAAGGGUGAUUACGAUUUUGGAGCCAAGUGGCAGAUUUACCAGUGAAUUUGCCAUUAUUAGACAAUGCCCCACACAAUCCUGUCUAAGGUAUUUUGAAGAGGGAUAGAAAUAAAAGAAAUUUUUCUGCUGGUAUUGUUGUCUACCACAAUAUCCAAUUUCAUUUUGUUCCAAGUAUUAUUCUCCGUAAGGAAAGACUCCUUGCGUAAAUAUUUUUGUUUCACUAUUUUGACCCACCAAUUGUCUUCGUCCGUUAUCACUUUCCAACCUAGCUUAGCCAAGCAAGCAUUAUUAAAAUGAUCAAUUCGCUUGACGCCAAGGUCACCCUGAUUCUUAGUGGUACAAACCUUAUUCAAAGCCAUAGGCUCCAGUUUAGAGUCCAUUCCCCAGUUAAAAUCCCUACACUCUUUGUUAAUUUUUUUUUUGUAAAUCUAUUAGGGCAUUUAAAAUAAGAUAUAACAUGGUUCGGCAUAUUUGUAAGAUUGGAAUUAAUAUAAACAUUUAUUACAAUAUCAUUGCAUUCAUCAUAAACAUUAAGGACAUAUUGAAAAGUACCGUUCAUAAAUAAAAACUUGAAACUCAAAUGUCAUUAUUUAAUUAACAAUGAAAUUAAAAAUAAAUAAAUAAAUAAAUAAAAAACAAUUCUACUUGCCACUAGUGGUUUAGGUUCUCGCUACAGUUCUGCUUCACAUUCAAAAUCAAACUUCUACUCUCAGAAACAGAACUUGAAUAUGUUGUCGAUAAACUUCAUUAUAUUUGGGUCACUUUUGUCAAUGUUCCAAUCUAGCUGUUAUGUAAAAAAUUAAUAAAGGGUAUUUUUAUUAGCACCUCACAUAUUAUUGAAUACACCCCACAUAAAAAUUUAUUAUUAAAUGACAUAUACUUUUAUAUGAAAUGACUUUCUAGCCCACGAAAACCAAAUUAGUUGAAGUAGAACAAUCAAAUUAGUUGAGCCAAUAAAUUUCAAGAAACAAGCUGCCAGGAGCUCAUUGAAUUCGAGUGGUUAGCAGGCGAAGCAUUUCUCUCAACCACCUGCCGGUGGCAGAGCAAACAUGAAGUUUAACAUUGUGAAUCCCACCAUUAGGCCAGAAGAAGGUUGAGAUCGAUGACGACACCAAACUACGUGAAUUAUGGGACAAGAGGAUCUCUCAAGAAGUCAAUGGUGAUGCAUUGAGCGAUGACGUUAGGAGGUAUGUCAAAACCUACCGCAGAACAUUCACAAACAAAAAAAUAAAAAAUAAAAAAAAAUUCAGCUUUGAAAAGUAAUACUUUCACAAUAAUUCGAAUCAAAACCAAUGCAGGAGUGUUGUUCAGUUAAAGUCGCUGAAAUGUCUGUAGAAAAGGAACGUUUGAUGUUUGCUUUUAAUUUGGGUCUUAGAGAUAUUGUUCUUGAGCUUGACGCGGAGGGAGUGGUGGUGGCUGAUAUUACGUCUAUGGAGGAUUGUCAGGGUUCAGAGGGUUGUACCAUGGAGAAUAUACAAAUGUUGGGAAAAAGUUUCGAAUUUUUUUUUGUCAAUGGCAAAACAGAGCUUGUUGUGGCUCAUGAACUAGCUCAAUAUGCAGUUCGUGCUAAUGAUUUUAAAUCUGGGAUUGAAGAGGAGCCUAGUUGGCUCUCUCCUCUUGUACUAUUUUUUUAUUCCUCAUGUUAAUGAAAGUCAUAUUUUUAUAAAAAAAAAAUGAAAUAAAUAUCUAUAAACAUAACUAAAUGUGUAGAAAAUUGAUGGAAGACUAAACCUGCUAAAUGUGCAGAAAACUGAAUAAAGAAUAUAAAAAGAAAUCUUAAAUUUCACAAAGAGUGCGGGUGUAAGGGUAGUAUUGGAAAGUAUGUGAGGUGUAUUAAGAUAAAUUUUAAUCUAAAAAGUAAAUGUGGGGUGUAUUAAGUAUAUGGGGUGUAGUCAACAAAAUGUGGGGUGUGUACAAAACAACCCAUUAAUAAAUUAUAAAUCUCACUAAUAUAUUUAUUUAACGAACAUAAUUAUUAUUAACUAAUUAAUUCACAAGUACUUCUAACUCAUCGAUCAAGUACAUCUUUAUCUCCUUGGGAACGGCUCUCCAAGACUCCCAAUCUACACCACAUUUGCCACACACCGAUACCCCAACAUCGCACGCAUAUCUGAUUUCUCAACUCCAUUUAAUUCUUCAAACGUGAUUCAGUAGCAGCUCCCAUCGAAAGUGUAUCGAACCUGGGGUACAACUCUCUUCUUUUUCUUGUCUACCAACAAAAUUUAAAUUUACAAUACGCAAGCUAAAUAUAUACUUUAUACAAAAUGCAAAAUUUAGAACAUAUUACCUUUUCCAGAACCUUCGCCCUUGAUUCUCUUUGACGAACCAACACUAGAGUCAGCCAUCGUACUAAAAUUCAAAUAACAACUGGAAUUAUAAUCUGGAAAAAAAGUAAAGUGUUUCCGAAACGAAUUGUGAAGAAUAGGGAGAGCGAAAUUGUAAAUUUAUAGGAAGCCUGGGGACCUUGCACGACGAAGCCUUUGUUGCACAUAACCCUGCACUAAAUACAAUAUUGAUUCCUCUAAUUCACAUGCAUUGAUUCCUCUGACUCAAAAAACUGACCGUCUGGUUGACAUCUUACGUGAUGAAGCUUUUGUCAUGCAAGUGUUUCACGGUAAAUGUUUCGUCAUGCAAUUGUAUGGCGCCAAAAAAGGGCGUACCUGUGGUUUUUUGCCAAACUUUGCGCGAUAGGGGAGUUUUUUUCGUUGUUCAAUGACAUUUGCACCACAAAACGUUGCGUCGUGCAAACUUUGGAUUACAAUUUUAGUUGUGCAAAACACCCUUGCGCGACGAAUUUUACUUUGUCGCAUAAAGAUCUGUCACACAAUUGAUUUUUUCUACUAGUAAGGGAUUAUAGAAAAUGAGGAAUAAAAAUCAAUCACCCUAUCGAUGGAUCUACACGAGAUAAAAACUUCAAAUGACUUUGUAUAAUUCAAAAUCUAAUAAUGUUACACUUCUUGAAACUUAAUAUCUGCAACUACAUCAUCUUUUUUUCUUCAACAUCAACACCACAAAUCCUCAAACUUUUAAUACAGAGGACAAAUUAUUCAAUAGCUUAGGGAAUAAAUGAAGAGGUAUAAGUAAUAAUUUACAAUCAUAGGCAUAGUUUUUCACAUCAAAUCAAUAGAAUUAAGUAUUAAACGUCUAGCAGAAUUAGGCCCCCCCCCCCAGCCCAACCCCACCCGAACUAGGAUAUAUAUACGGGAAUUUUAACGAAAAGCACCCGGUACUGUUUACUUUAACGAAAAACCACAUUUUUACACUAAAAAGUCAAUCCUGGUACUAUUCACUUUACCCUUUAUUUUGUCUUUAUCAUUAAAACUCAAAGUUUUCAAGCCCUUUUCAUUAGUUUUCCUUAUAUACAAAGAUAAAACAUUCAAGCUGCAAUUUUCCAAACACCUAUAAGUCCAGGCUCUAUAGUUGUCACAGGCUCACAGCCGCUCCCCUGCAAGAACCACAUGUAUGCAUGUAUAUAAGAGAAACCCCAUCGACGUGAUCCGCUACCUUGCAAGUCGAGGCUUCAUGGUUUUUGUUUUCAUUGAUUUAACGGAGAAGAAGAUCGGCAACUAGGCUGAUAAAAUUAGAAAAAUAGCAGAGAGAAGGAAUAUGAGAUCAAUAGAAACUUAUAGAAACUGUACGAAAGCUCUUCUCUCUCUUCAUCUAAAGGGAAACGGACCAAAUAAACGAGGCAAGUUUGCCGUCACAGUAAAAUCAGAAACUCAUUGCUUGGGCAGUUAUAUUGGGCUGGUAUACUGUUGAGUUUGCCCUAAGCAUUAAAUAAAAUUUUUAGAAUGCUUAAGAUUUUAUUUUAUUUAAAAUAAAAUACAAAUUAACAACAAAAAUGGCUUGACUUUUGGCCCCGUUCUCCUUUUCGUAUCAUUAAUUUGAAAUGAAAUAUCGACAUUGUAAAAUGGUAGGCGGGUCAUAUAGUAGUAGUACACAUUGAAAAUGUGAAUCUUUAUGGUGGAAUACUAACUUGUUAGAAUGAGAUUGUUGGGGUGAUGAUAAUAGUUUCCUAAAAAUAUAAAGUAAUGCUAUAAACACCAAUUUAUUUGUAAACAAACGUUGUACUAGUUAUAUGACAUCAUUUUUAAUGAGAAACACAAUUAAAAAACAAAACAAAGGGAUUGCAAGUGAUAGAUCUUGCUCUAGUGAAAUUAGUCUUCUCUAUCAACCCACUACAUUUUAUAUUCAAACUUUUCAUCUCUCAUUAAUAUAUAUAUAUAUAUAUAUAUAUAUAUAUAGCUUAAAGUAGUUAUGUCGUUUGUGAUAAGAAAAAUAUAUAUAAAACAAAAACUUCAACAGAAUUUUCCAUCACUCAUAUAAGAAGUUCGAUUUUUUUUUUCCCAGUAAAAAGGACAAAGUAAAUAAAUCAAUUGGAACCCAUUUGCACCCCAAGAUUUACGGAUAUAUAUAAAACCCUAAAGAGAAAAGAGUAAACCACCGAAAGUCUCCAACACUUUCAUUUCACCACCACUCAUAUCAUAUAUAUCACUCAUCUGCAUAGCUAUCACUUGGUCGGUCAAAAGCGAAUUACAAAACAACAGAAACCGGUCACAGAGAGAGAGAGAGGACUCAUCAGAACCACAAGAAAGAAUCCGAAUUCCUCGGGCACACACACAAACAUGCAGCCCGCUGAUCAUCAAGGCCAAGAACUCUACCGAUUUCUUGCCCAAAACGGCUUAAUCAACGUGAAUAAUGAUCAUCAGUUAUCAGCUAUGCAAAGCUUUUGCAGCUCUUCUUCUAAUAAUUAUAGUUAUUACCCUCUGGAAGUGUCUGGGGUAAGUACUGAGCAUGACGCCUCACCUCAAGAUAGAGCCCUUGCUGCUCUCAAGAAUCACAAGGAGGCCGAGAAGAGAAGGAGAGAGCGAAUCAACUCCCAUCUCGAUAAGCUUCGAGGCCUUCUUCCUUGCAAUUCCAAGGUACCUACCUAUUUAUGUACUCGAUUAUUAAUCAAAUUUGUUCUUAUUUUUGUGGUAAUAUUUGUCAAAUUUGUUUUUGGAAAUCAAUUAAAUAACUGGUUAUAAUUGUGUCCUAAUUAAUUUUGUUUUAGUUUAACUUACUGUUGGUUUUGCGUUUGCAAGUUUGAAUUUGAGCUUUGACGCCUCCUAAUUUACUUUCCUUUGCCGCUGAGUCGAUCCUUUCUCACUUCAACAAUCAUUUUUUCUCCUUUUGACUACUGUUUGGUUGGUGGGAAAAAAAUGCUGGCGAGAAAAGAGAGUACUACUGGAACUCGAAUCUACUUUAUGUUGCUUAUAACCAAGGAAGCAAAGAUUUUGUGCUUACUGACUUAAUAUCCGAUUUUUAUUUGUACUAAUUAAUUUAGAAAUUAAUUCAUUCAUUCUGACGUACCCAACAACAACAACAAUCCUAUAAACUUGUUGUCAUGAAUAGCUUUUACAUAUGAGAUUCUAAGGUCUGGGACCUAUACAGUCUUUUGGUACAUUCCGUUUCUGAAAAAGAAAAAGGGAUCAAUGGCGUUGUAGUCAGACACUGGUCUUUAGGGUAAAAAUACUUAUUUGGGAAAGCUGCUGAGCUUUUCACAACUAGGGUUCCUUAUCUUUCUUCUUCUUCCUUUAAUUAUUUUUUAUUCAAACAAAAUUCUCAGACAGACAAAGCCUCCCUGUUAGCCAAGGUGGUCCAGAGAGUGAAAGAGCUGAAACAACAAACGUCAGAGAUCGCAGAGCUGGAGACCUUCCCUUCUGAAACUGAUGAAAUCACUGUACUUUCUUCAAAUGAUUAUACAAGCGAUGGAAGAAUUGUUUUCAAGGCCUCUUUGUGCUGCGAGGACCGCUCCGACCUCCUACCUGACCUAAUUGAAAUACUGAAAUCCCUCCAUUUGAGGACAAUCAAAGCUGAAAUUGCCACUCUUGGAGGAAGAAUUCGCAACGUGCUUAUCGUUGCCGCAGACCAAGAUCACACGAUUGAAUCAGUCCAUUUCUUGCAGAAUGCGUUGAAGUCAUUACUUGAACGCUCCAACUCUAGUGAAAGAUCAAAAAGAAGACGGGUAUUAGACCGCACAUUAGUCCUGUAAUUGGUACUAGUACUUUAAACUUUGAGAUUCUAUAUAUUUUCUUAAUCUUAAGUAUGUAAUAUUAUUUUGGAAUUAGUUGUGUGUGUUUGUUUGUAUUUAAUUCCCAUGAGGAACAUGAAUGGGAAAUUAAAGUAAUCAAUUGGGUUUAAUUUGUUGAUCAUGAGUGGUUUAGGGUUUUGGAUUUUGAAAGUACCCUUUUUGCGAUUUGCAUGCAUGUGAUAUUUGUAUUCAUAUAUAUGUAAGUUUGCAAAAGAGAUAUAUUAAUCAAUUAUAAGAAUCUGACGAGUUUAUGAUCCUGAAGUAGAUAGAUACUAGUGCACCUAAUGUUGAAUACAGAGUCUAUUGAGAGCAACUUCUAUGACACGUAUAUUUGUGAUGUUCAUGUGUCAAUGGUACAACGCAAAGUAGAGAAAAGCUUACACAUGUUAUUAUAUCAAUGGCAUGGAACACAACAACUGCAAUGUACCUGUGACAUGUAAGUUAUUCUGUAGCAUAAAUACUUAAUUAUGUGAGUCUCCAAGCUCAAAAAUGGAAAUCAUGUGAAAAAUUAUAUAUACCUUUUUUAUUUUUCUGAUUACUCUUUAUCUUUUUUCAUGUAUCUAUGAAAGUAGAGUAUUAGCUAGCUCGCUCUGCUGCAUGUAAGUCUUUCUGUAACAUAAACGCUCAUAUGAGUCUCCAAGCUCAAAAAUGGAAAUCAUGUAAAAAAUUAUAUAUACCUUUUUAUAUAUCUGGUUAUAACUCUGUCUUUUUCACGUAUCUAUUAAAGUAGAGUACUAGCUAGCUGUCUCUGCUGCAUGUAUAUCUGAGCUAGCUGAGCUCCUCUGAAAUCUGGAUUCUGAACAAAUAUAUAUACACUGAUUCUCAAGAAAGCAUGAAAGAGGGUAAGUUAUGAAAUUCUUGGGACAUAUAGAUUUGCAAUGAGAUAUGAUAUGCUGAGACAGUGAGAAAGAGACAGUAAAAGACAUGGUUUUGCAGCCCAAGAACUGAACUCUGUGCUUCCAUUUCCAGCACAGCUGAAAUCAAACUGCACCACUUAAUUCAGAUUAAAGAGUAAACUUUCUCACACCAAUCAAGGCGGAUCCCUAGCAAUCUGCCUUAAGUUCUGAAUUAUCCACGCAAACUAAUUUUUUUUUUAUCUAUUUAAAAUAUUAUAUUUAAUCUGCUCCCAUCCACAAACAACAUGUAAUAGGUAGAUUCCACUAUUUCUGUCCUCGUUUGAGUCAAGGACAAAGGGACCAAAGCAUGCAUUUUUUAAUUACUCCAAAAAAAUUUAUGACUACUUUUUUAUGUGUAAAUUGCUUGAUUAUUCAUUGUAGAGAAAAGAAAAGAAAAAAUAGCUAUGAAUUUUUGUUUAUGUAUAUUAUGUAAUCGCACGGCUUUAUUAUUGAUUGGUUUUGGUUCCUUAAUUUGCAAGGAAACAGCAGAAGUGAUCAAAAGUUGCAAAGCUUUCAUAAUUAGUAGAAUGGAAAAACGAUGGAAGUGGACUCUACUCUAAACUCACUGCAAUCUUUAUGGCAUUUGAAAUAAUUUUUGUUUAAAUAGAGUUUAUUUAUUCGAUGUCUGAGGCUCUGAGCUAGCUCCUUCUGACCAUAAACCAAAAAAUGCUCUCAUUCGAAAAAGAAAAGUUAGUAGUUAUCCGUGCAAGGUUUCAAGAGAGGGUUUUACUUUGGGAGAACUUUUUCCUACGACAUUUUAGCCAACUCAUCAAUGUCAUUUGAGUGAGCUUACGGGGCAGAAGUUUUUUUUUUUUUUUUUUUUUUUUUUUUUAACAAAAUAUAUUAUCGAAAAUCAAAUCUUAGAACAAGUAAAGAAGAAUACCACUAGAUUAUAGUACUGACUAUGGGCAAAAGUUAUGUAAUUACUUAUCUACAUUUUAAAAAAAAUUUAUUUAUAGGAAAUAAACGCAUUAAAACGAGAAACCACAGAUACAAUCACCGACCAUUCAUAGGAAGGAAUACAAUACUCCCAAAAUGACUAUUCCUAAUCAGAAGUCCCUGUCUUACCUCGUAUGUUAGCAGUUUUCAAAAUUUUCACUAAUUGACUUCAAAUUACAAAAGAAUUUUAUGAAAAAGGAUUUACCCUUUAAGAAAAAAGUGGGUAUUAAUUGGUAUCCUUUAAUUUGAAUGAUGAUUUUGUUAGGCAAUUAUGAACACGCAUAACAUUCUACCUUGACAGUAUAAUAAAACGUCCACAAUCUAAAGGCCAACGUAGCCUUUCUUGUAAUUCCAUAUGAUCUGAAUGUCUUCACUAGUAAUUCAAUAAUAGUCAUUUAGUAUUACGGUCAGGGAUGACCUUGAGAAUUUAAGGGCCCUGUGCAAAAUUUAGACAGAGGCCCUUCAUUUUCUAAAGGUGUUUUUUUAUUUUAUUUUAUUAUUUCUUAACUUUAAAUUUUAUUCAAUAAUGUUUUUGUGUAAAUUUGUCUGCAAGUUUAUAAGAUGCAAAAAGUAGAAAUUCCAAAGCAAAACCAUAGGGAAUCGAACCCCGCUCCUCGGUGAAAGGGUAUGAAAUCUAAAGCACUACCGCUUGCAAAUAAGUUUGGCAUUCUAUUCCACAUUUAACAUAUUUUAUAUGUAUAUGUGUACAUGUAAAGAAAUUUUGGGGCCCUUCUGAAUCAGGAGCCUUGUGCAGUGGCACCUUUUGCACACCCUCAGGGCUGGCUCUGACUACGGUCUAACUGUAUUUCUCUUCAUUUGUAAGUGAGAGACCUUAGUUUUGAUUCUCGUCAAAGGAUAAUUUGAACCACAUUAUUGCUAGCCCAUUGUGAGGCUAAGCUCACCCCCCAUCUCCCCCUUAGUGUAAAUAAUAUCGUUUGUUCAAAAAAAAUUGUUGUGAACGUCUUUUUACAUGACCUUUUUUUAGUUUACAUUAAUUGUGAUUAAACUAAAGUUCCUAUUACACCAACAUUGUAUAGCCUUUAGUUUGACUUUCACACACUAUAUAAAACCCCAAACUUGGUGUUAAAAUCGUAAAAAUUCUUGGGACUCACUUUCUGUAUCAAAUGGACACUAAACCUAAAUUUGUUUUAAAAAGAAUUUGAUUUUCAAACAUUAAACAAAACAAACCCCAAAUUUAUUUUAAAACUCUAAAAAUGUUUGGAGCUCCAUUUCUCUACUUAAUAAACACGAAAAUUAAAAUUAGUUUUGCAACUCAAUUUCUAUAUCAAUUUCUCUAUCAAUUUCAAUCCCACUAAAUUCGUUUUUCUCGUGACCAAAUACUCAGAAAUAAAAUAAUAGGGAUCAAAACUGAAAUCAAGACAAAAUAUAGUAACCGAAAUUGAAUCCCCUACAUCCCUAUAUGAGAAAUCUGAUAACAUAGAGCAUUGCUGCUACGUGAGCAGUAUCAUCGAUUAUUCCAAGAAGGUUAGGAUUUUCUUAAAGAAAUUAUUUUCUAUAUGACGUUUAAGUAAGAAAAAGACCAGCCCACAGAGUGCCACGUCAAAAACUUCUGGUUAAACUUGAUACUUAUGGGCAGAUGGAGAGACUAAUGUUGCAACAUUUGCAGUAAGAUUUUGAUACAUAGACAAAUGGAGGGACCAAUGAUUAAACUUUAAAUGCAUGCAUAAAGUGACCAUAUGGACCAAAUUGUAACAACUUACAAGCUCAUACCACAAUACUUACAAAAGUAAUGUUUACCACGCUGGAAAAGAGACACAGAGAGAGAGAGAGAGAGAAGGGUAGCGAAGCGUGCAAAAAGGAGGCUGACAAAAAGCAUCAAAGAUUUGUUAAGUUUUAAGUUUUGGCAUGAGAAAAAAGCGGCAAUGAUGAUGAUGGGUUAUGGAGAGAGAAAGAGAGGGGGUGUAGUGGGGACUGAUGACUGCAUAUUCAAAGUUCAAAGGGGCUUUUACAAAUGGCAGCAGCAGACAAAUGCAUUGCGCUUUGGGUGGCCCUGUCGCCUGUCGGGGACGUGCUCCCAGUCUCUGCCCCUCCCUCCCACUCCCACCCCUUUGCCCGCUGGCGUGCGUUUUAAUUCUCUCUCCAUUCUCAGUCCGAUCUCAGCAAACCCUAGCUACUACUGCUUGGCUCCCUAUUCUAAAUGCUUAGCUAUGCGCUUUGAGACUCCGUACGGCUUUGCUACUGAGAUGCUUUUAUAAAAAAUGGAACUUUAACGAAAAGCACCUGGUACUGUUCACUUUAAUGAAAAACCACAUUUUUACACUAAAAAGUCAAUCCUGGUACUAUUCACUUUACUCUUUAUUUUGUCCUUAUCAUUAAAACUCAAAGUUUUCAAGCCAUUUUCAUUAGUUUUCCUUAUAAAAAAAUAGGUAUAAAAAAAAGUUGACCUGAAAAAGGUAUUUGAUAAAUACUUAAAAACAGCUUAUUUUCACAGUUUUAGGUGAAAAAAAAGCUUAAAAUGUGAAGCAGUAAAAAUGAGCUCUCUCUCUCUCACAAUGUGAAAACCUUCUUUGCAAGUGACACAUUUUCCAACGUUAGAGCACCAAUCAAUAAAAAAAGGAAAAAAAAAAAAAUUCCCUUUUAGACGAAACGAUUUCAUCGGGGCAGAUAAGGUUUUGUCACCAAAGGUUUUGCCCGACGACACACAAGAAAUACAUUGAAUACUUGGUUAUGUUAUUCAUUCUUUAGGAUUUACAAUAUAUAGGCUCAUAUGCUUUAUUCUAUAAAGAAAGUAAUUACAAAAGAUAAGGGAACUAAAUUCUCAGAUUACAAUCAAUUACAAACACUACUACAAAAUGGACUUAUUGUGUCACUGGAUGAUGUCACUUUAAUAUAAUAUAGUGGCGGAUAAGACAUUUGUAACACCUACUGAACAUGACGUCGGAUUUAUUGUUGGUUGUAAGCGUCAUAAACUGUCUAUGUCGCUUUUAACCGACGUAAACAGUUAAUGUCGCUUAUAACCGACAUGUAUUUUAAUAAUUUUUAAGUCUUGGUGUCGCUUUUAAGCGAUAUAAAAUUGGGAUGUUGCUUCUAGGUGACACUAAUUACUGUUUUUAAAUAUUUUAAAGCCUGCGUCGGUUCUAACUAGGCCUGGCAAACGGGUCGUGUCAGUCGUGUUCGUGUCGUUUUCGUGUAACACCUGUUAUCUUAAC